UUUUUUUUUGUUGGAUAUUUUCACUCACGUCACGGUCACGUGUGGAUUGUACGUGCGGGUGCUGAUAAAAGUGGACGUACCGUGGUGGAUAGUAAAAAAAAAAUUUGGCGAGUAAUACGCGCCGGCGCGCCGGCCGAAUCUUUCGGCCGGUCCACUGGCGGUCAUACGAUUAAAAUGAUUCAUACCGUACGAUUGACUUCAAAAAUGAAUUGUUGUCUUCCUCCUAGGCUCCUACUCUUUCAACGCAGAAAAAAAAAAUCCAUCUUCUACUAUUGACGUCCCUACAGCAACCUUGCACUCCAUGGAUAUGAGAGUGCUGCCGGCUCGCCGCCACUCGCCUUCCCCACCGGUUCCAGCAGGACGCCUUCCUCGCCGGUUUCAGCAGGGCGCCGUCGCAGCAUCCAGUCGUCGCCCUGUAGCAACGUCCGCCAUUUUGCAAGACGCCUGAUGCCUCCGUCCUUGUAGCAACUAGUCGCCGCCAUAGUAACACGCCUGUCGCAGCAGCACCAUGCCACAGGCCGUAGCUUCGGGCGUCACCGCUCAUACAUUGUCAGCAGACGGCCCCGGUUUUUGAAGAUUCACGAUGGAAGCCUUUAUUACACCGGUUGAAGCUUUUUUCUGUAUGGUUGAAGCUUUUUCUGAUUUCGAUCGAAACAUUUUUACACGGGCUGAAGCUUUUCUCCACGUUCGAAGCUUUUCCUCUACGCCAGUUGUAGCUUUUUUCCAUGGUUGAAACUUUUUCUAUACCAGUUGAGGCUUUUACAAUUGCCGGUUGUGGCAAUCGUGGCGUCAUCCCCCAUCGCCGCCCUAGCACCACUCUGUCGAUGUAGCAGAAGAUUACAUCAGUUCCAGCUUCUAGUUUGCUGGUUGCAGCAAACUCUACGCCGCAGUUUGCCCCCGGCACCACGCCCGUCGCCGUCGUGGCAGCGCCUCGUGUUGGUUGCAGCAAAACAGUUGGCCCGUUCCAGCAAAUGGUGGUGCUGUUGGUAGCAAAUGGGAUUGCCGGUUGUAGCUCCUCAUGCUGCCGGUUCCAGCAACGACGCCCACAGCUUGUAGCACCCACGAUGGUUGGUUCCAGCAAUUGUGACGGCGGGUUGUAGCAGCCGUAGUGGCCGGUUCCAGCACCACUGUUUGAUGAUUCCAGCACCGGCGGGAGGCGGGAAGGUAGCACUAAUGGCGGGCGUUUCAGCACCUGCGUGGGACGUUUUCCAGCAAAACCGUGAGGCCGGAUCCAGCACCUCCAUGGCCGGAUGUAGCUUAUGUAGGAGGCGCCCCCAGCCAACCUCUCCAUUGACGCCGCUAGCAGCUCGUCCAUGGCGCAAAUAAAAUCCCCUUCCUAGAUGGCUCGAAUCCGGUCAUGGCCUGCGCCCAGCAGAUGAGUACGGCCAUGGAGCUUGCAGCAGCAAGGCACUGCCGCACGGUGAUCUAUUUUGGGUAGUCCUUGUUGUGAUUUGCUGCGGGGAGGAGGGAGAAGCAUGGCGUAGUUAUGGAAAAGGGGAGAGAGCAGCAAGAACGGAGAUGGGAUGCGGGCGGUGGUGAAAGAAGAUAAGGAAAAGGAAGUUGUUUCUAGACGCGUGGGGCCCUGGCACGUGGUGUGCGUGCGCGCGAUCGGCGGGCGUUUCAGCCAGCGCACCGGCUAGAAACGUUUCCCUUUUUUUAAGAACGUCCGUAAUAAUUAAGCAACAAAGCUUACACAUAGUUGACGUAAAAAAGAUUACAUGGAGUUUCCUUUUUUUUCGAAAAUUCCAUAGAGUUUCUCGGAUACAAUUCGAGCGAAAGGCCAUUAGUGUUCAUACAUGAUUUAGCUAAAAUAUGAGCCACUACAUUGUACCACCGAGGAACAUGUCUGAAGUCACAGAUAUGAAGCUCGACAAUGCACAUUUGAUACCAGCCACUACAAACCCCACAUACGAGCAAUCGCGGGCUGAAGAAUUGAGGUGAUGCACUAGGGAAAGGCAAUCCGAGGCAAAGAUGACCGAGUUGAUGUUCUCCUCGCGCGCCAAAACAACUUCUCGGCAAAGAGCAAUGGCUUCUGCCAGCUCAGGAUUCAUAGUGCUUGGGAGAGCCUCAUAACAAACAAGCAUGCACUGGCGACCAUGAUCUAGAAGGACGCUGCCAUAACCAUACAUGUCGAGUUCAUCAAAUAUAGUAGCAUCAGAGGAAAAAAACAAUGGACCCUGGCGACGGAGGAGACCAAGAAGGGCUUGAUGCAUGGAUCUCAUGAUUGUGAACAUGGGACAGGUUAUAAAGAUGUUGCACAAUCAAGUCAACAUAAGUAAUCUUCAGGGAAGUGUGAUGCGGAUGAGAGGCUCGUUGUUGUUCCUCGUAGAGUUACGUGCCCCCAUAUGUGCCAGACCGCAAUAGCUAGCAUCAUAGCCGACAGUUUGCAUGCUCCCGGUAGGAAGUGGAAGAGCCAUGACAAGGCAAGACCAUCAAGACUAAUGUUGAAGGUGUGCUUCACUUCCUCCCACACUUCCCAUGCAUGCGGACAAAACAGGAGGGCAUGCUCAACACUCUCGACCCUGCCACAAAAACAACAAAGCUCCGAGUCCAUGACGUUGAAGCUAAGACUCCAGAUGGCAAGCGAUCAUGGACAAGAUGCCAUAGGAUCACUUCAUGUUGUUCGGGGUAGUGAUGGGAAAGAUCGACUUCCAUUGUUUCUCCACUUGUCAAUAGGUGAUCGUCGAUAUAGAAACUAGAGAUGAGUUCUUAGAUUGUUCGGUCAAGGGUGAAAACACCCUCGUCGCUCCAUGAGUCACAGUGAGGCAGUUUACCCAGGUUCAGGCAUUUAGGCCACCGGCGAUGGUGUAACACCCUACUCGUGCUAUGUGUUUCUUUUCAUGUGUAUCGAGAGAGAACUCACUGCUUAUAGACUGCAUAGUGAGCCCCUUAUGUUCUAAUUCUUCCUUCCCCUUUCCUCUUGUCGGUUGCCUAUCCUUUUAUACACGAAGAAAAAAGUUGGCUCCUGAUGAGUGAUUUUUUGCACAUUCCACCAUUAUUUAAACCUGAUAAUACCGGAAUAUCCAAGAGGGUCACUUGGAUAUUGCCACUAAUGACUAAUGAAUGCAACAAAUUGUGAAAUCCUUUGUUUAAUGUGUUUCCCUAGGAACUGGACCCAAUCAUGGAAGAAAAUCAUCACAUAGAAGGAAACACAAAGUGUGGGAGCCAAGCCAAGCCAAAUGGGGUCGCCAUGAAGGCAACAAAGCAAAAGACGGGGCUCGGUAUGAGCAUGCCCGCUCGUACCAGCAGCCGUACUCACCACCAUCAGCACUGUAUCGUCCAACCAAACACAUUUUAUAAAAGGGCCCAAGUCUGGUUCGCAACAAAGGAGUCGGAAAAUAUUGCAGAGCACCAUCAGGAGCCAUUCACGAACCCUAGUGGCCGACAUUUUCCAUCUCAUCUCCAUAGCCAUCACCACCUAGUCAUUCUCUCAAGUUAGUUGUACUUGUAAUCGAUGCAUCACAAUCCGCAACUAUUGUAAGACAAUUCAUCAAUCAUUCAUCCUUAUGACGUCUUCAAUGAUUUCUUCGUGCGAUCCGAUCACGAUGUGUGAGUAAUUCACUAAGGCAAUGGGUUGAGGAAAGGCCUUGCAACCCUUUGGUAUGUGUGCACACUUGUUAGAUCAUUUUGCCUAAUUGACGUUAUUUGUAUGUGUGAUUCGCAACGGAGUUGUCUUUUGUCUUCUUCUCAUUCGAAGGCCCUGUAGGUACCCGGGAUAUCAUAGAUCGAUCUAGGAGGAGGUAAGAAGCGAAGAUGGGUGGAACGUGAUACUCUCCAUCGUAUCUACUUCUCCUAACGCUUUUGCUCUUGUUUUGGACUCUAAUUUGCAUGAUUUGAAUGAAACUAACCCAGACUGACGCUAUUUUCAGCAGAACUACCAUGGUGUUGUUUUUGUGCAGAAAUAAAAGUUCUUAGAUUUGGACAAAACUUUUUCGAGAAUUAUUUUGCAAUAAAUAAAAAAUACUAGAACCAAGACCCACUAGAGGGGGGCCCUGGCUGCCCACAAGACGCCAGGCACGCCACGCCCCUCUAGUGGGCCCUGGUGGGUGGUGGGGCCCUCGAGGCUCCGCUGACCAUAAUUCCAACGCUAUAAAAUCUUGUUUUUCCAGAAAAAAUAGGAGAGGAAGUUUCAUUGCGUUUUACGAUACGGAGCCGCCGCCACUUCCUAUUCUUCAUUGGGAGGCCAGAUCUGGAGCCCGAUCAGGGCUCUGGAGAGGGGGGUCUUCGAUCUUCAUCAUCAUCAACCAUCCUCCAUCACGAAUUUCAUGACGCUCACUGCUUGAAGUGAGUAAUUCCUUCGUAGGCUCACUGGUCGGUGAGGAGUUGGAUGAGAUUCAUCAUGUUUGAGUUAGUUUUGUUAGGGCUUGAUCCCUAGUAUCCACUAUGUUCUGAGAUUGAUGUUGCUAUGACUUUGCUAUGCUUAAUGCUUGUCACUAGGGCCUGAGUGCCAUGAUUUCAGACGUGAACCGUUUAUGUUUUCACCAUUAUAUCUAUGUUCUAGAUCCGAUCUUGCAAGCCGUAUGCACCUAUUAUGUGUUAUGAUCUGUAAACCCCAAGGUGACAAUAAUUGGGAUACUUUCCGGUGAUGACCGUAGUUUGAGGAGUUCAUGUAUUCGUUAUGUGUUAAUGCUUUGUUCCAAUUCUCUAUCAAAAGGAGGCCUUAAUAUCCCUUAGUUUCCUUAUGGACCCCGCUGCCACGGGAGAUUAGGACAAAAGAUGUCGUGCAAGUUCUUUUCAAUAAGCAUGUAUGACUAUUUACGGAAUACAUGCCUACAUUAUAUUUAUGAACUGGAGCUAGUUCUGUGUUGCCCUAGGUUAUGACUGUUAUAUGAUGAAUAUUAUCCAAUGAAUUCUCCGAUCCAAUGCCUACGAGUUUUUCACAUAUUUGCUCUUGUUGCGUUACUAUUGCUAUUGUUACUGUUACAACUACUACAAAAAUGUUACUGUUGUUACUGUUACCACUGCUAUCGUUACUACCACUAUCAAACUAUCAUAUUACUGUGCUACUGAUCACUUUGUUGCAGAUAUUUAAUCUCCAGGUGUGGUUGACUCAACUGCUAAUACUUAAAAAUAUUUUUUGGCACCCCUUGUGUGAAUCUAUAAAUUUGGGUUGAACACUCUACCCUCGAAAACUGUUGCGAUCCCCUAUACUUGUGGGUUAUCAAGACCUUUUUCUGGCGCCGUUGCUGGGGAGCAUAGCUAUAUUUGUUGAGUCACUUGGGAUUUAUAUCUAUUUAUCAUUAUGAGGAAUCUAAAAGAUACAAGAACCAAGAUCAUUCCCUCUAAGACGAGAGGAGGUAAGGAAUUGCCAUCUAGCUCUGCACUUGAUUCACCUUUUGUUUUGAAUAGACCUGCAACACCACCACAUGCUAUUAAUCCUGAUAUGUCGCAAGUUAUUGAUAAUGAUGCUUCUGCUAUGAAUGAUGCUUAUGAUGAUGCUAGUACCUUGCUUGAUGAUAAUGUGCCACGAGGUGAAUUUCUUGAUGAACAACUUGCUAGAGCUAAAAAUAUUGAGAAUGCUGAAACUGAUGAAAUUAAUGAAACUGAUGAAGUAUUUGAAACUGAGAAUUAUGAAACACCUUUUAGACCUAGCUCUCCUAGAUUUGAAAUGCCUAAGAUACCUGAGGGUUAUGUUAUGGAUGAAGAGGUAGCUAGAGACUUUCUUGCUUGUAAGGAUAGAGAUGAUCUAAAGAAACUACUAGCCAAGUUGAAAGAAAAAAAUUGAAUGCUAGAAUGAAAUGUGAUCCUAAGUUUGCUACUUCACCUAUCAUUGUUACUAAUAAGGAUUAUGAAUUCUCUGUCGACCCAGAGUUAAUUACUCUGGUUGAAUCUGGUCUUUUCCAUGGCUAUGAAAUUGAAACUGUAGUGGCACAUCUUACUAAAUUAAAUGAUAUAGCCACCCUAUUUGCUCAUGAUGAGAAAAUUCGCUACUACUAUAUUCUUAAGUUGUUUCCUUUCUCGUUAAAGGGUGAUGCUAAGAUAUUGUACAAUACUCUUGCUCCUGGUUGUGUGCGUAGCCCCCAGGAUAUGAUUUAUUACUUCUCUGAAAAAUAUUUUCUUGCUCACAAGAAACAAGCUGCCUUACAAGAAAUAUUUAACUUUGUGCAAAUUUAAGAAGAGAGUCUCCCACAAGCUUGGGGGAGGCUUCUCCAAUUACUUAAUGCUUUGCCUGAUCAUCCUCUUAAGAAAAAUGAAAUACUUGAUAUCUUCUAUAAUGGACUAACCGAUACUUCUAGGGACGUCCUAGAUAGUUGUGAUGGUUGUGUUUUCAGGGAUGAAUUGUUGAAUAAGCCGAGGAAUUUUGAAUAACAUAUAGAAGAAUUAUGAUGAUUGGACUCUUCCUGAACCACCACCUAAACCCACUCCAAAGAAGAGGGGUGUCUUAUUACUCAGUCCUGAAGAUAUGCAAGAGGCAAAGAAAUGUAUGAAGGAAAAAGGUCUUAAAGCUGAACAUGUUAAGAAUUUACCACCUAUUGAAGAAAUACAUGGACUUGACACACCACCACCACAGGUGGUAGAGGUAAAUUCUCUAUUAAAGUUUGAUGAAGGUGAUAUCCCUUAUAAUAAAAUCCCAGUCAAUGCUUAUAUUAGUUCGACAACUACAUUAGAAAGCAAGAUCACUUCAAUGCAAAUGUUAUGAAACAAUUGAAACAAAAUUCUGAUAUGAUUGCUCGCUUGAGUGACUUGUUACUUAGAAUCACUAAUGAUGUUAGACGUAUAAGAAAACAUGCCUCUAUGGUUCAAACUCAGUUAGAACAAGUUGCUAAAUCUCAAAGAGAAUUGCUUAGUGAAAUGAACAAUAAUAUGAAUGAUUAUGCUGUUAGAGUAGUAACUAGAGGAGGCAAAAUGACUCAGGAACCACUUUAUCCUGAGGGACACCCUAAAAGAAUUAAACAAGAUUCUCAAAGAAUUAACACUGAUGCACCUAGUCCUUCUAAAAAGAAGAGAAAAAUGAUAGGACUUUGCAUACCUCUAGUGAACCUGAGAUAGAAAACCCUUCUGAAGAUAACAAUGAUGUCUCUAUCUCUGAUGCCGAAACUCAACCUGGUAAUGAACAUUCACCUAGUGAUAAUGAAAAAUAUAAUGAUGUUCAUGAAGAUACUCAACCAUACAAUGAUAAAGAACCAGAUAAUGAUGUUGAAAUAGAACCUAUUGUGGAUCUUGAUAACCCACAACUUAAAAAUAAACGUUAUGGUAAGAGAGACUUUGUUGCUAGAAAACAUGGUAAAGAAAAAGAACCAUGGGUUCAAAAACCCAUGCCCUUUCCACCUAAACCAUCUAAGAAAAAAGAUGAUGAAGAAUUUGAACGCUUUGCUGAAACGCUUCAGCCAGUCUUUUGCGUACCCAUUUGACGGAUAUUUUAAAGAUGCCCCCUUAUGCUAAAUACAUGAAAGAAAUUUUCACUGAUAAAAGAAAAAUACUUAAAGCUGAAAUCUCCACCAUGCUUGCUAAUUAUUCUUUUAAGGAUGGAGUACCUAAAAAACUUGGAGACCCAGGAAUACCAACCAUACCUUGCUCUAUUAAAAGAACUUAUGUCAAAACUACUUUAUGUGAUUUAGGAGCUGGUGUCAGUGUUAUGCCUUUCUCUUUAUAUAGAAGACUUGAUUUGAAUAAACUCACACCUACUGAGAUAUCAUUGCAAAUGGCUGACAAAUCGACUGCCAUACAUAUCGGUAUUUGUGAGGAUGUGCCCGUUGUUGUUGCAAAUAUUACUAUCUUAACAGACUUUGUUAUACUUGAGAUGCCCGAGGACGAUAACAUGUUGAUUAUCCUGGGUAGACCCUUUUUGAACACUGCAAGGGCUAUUAUUGAUUGCAAUAAAAGAAAAGUUACUUUCAUAUCAAUGGUAAUGAGCAUACGGUGCACUCUCCGAAGAAACAAUUUCAAGUGAAUGGUAUUAAUGUUAUUGAAAAGUCUCUGAUAAUUACUAUUGGAAGUUUUCAACUCCCUUUACCCACUGCCAAAAAGAAAUAUGAAAUACUUAUUGUUGGGGAUAUGUAUAUCCCUGUUGAGGUAACUUAGUGUUUUACAAAAGUUCUUUGGGUUCAUGUUAAUCGAAAGUGAUUGUUAGUAAGACUUGAUCAACCUUAUUAAUGGAUUGUUUUUUAGAGGCAUGUGGUCGAUGAAUUUAGUAGGCACAACCUUCUGUCCCUACUUUUAUUUUUUUGUUUUUCUUAGUUAAAUAAAACAAAAUGCCACGUUUAUCCUGCUUUCUGACUUUCCCGUGCAAUAAAAAAGUGGUCAAAAAAUAAAAGUGCUCAGAAUGACCUGAAAUUUUAACACAAUUUUUUGAAUAUUUAAGAAUUUCUGGAACAAAUAACCACACGAGGGGGCGCACCUGGUGUCCAUAAGACACCAGGGCGCGCCAGCCACCCCAGGCGUGCCCUGGUGGGUGGUGGGUCACACGUGGCCCCCCUCACUUAUCUCUUCCGCCCAUGUCAUCUCCUACCUCCAGAAAAAAUCGCUCUCUCUCUCUCUCUCUCUCUCUCUCUCUCUCUCUCUCUCUCUCUCUCUCUCGUGUUCUUGCUCUCAAACCCGCGGAUUUCGAUCUCCUUGCUCGAAGCUCCAUUUCCGAAACUAUUUUAGGGGAUUGCUACUUGUUAGGUGACUCCUCCAUUGCUCCAAUUAGUUUUUGUUUUAGUGGUUUAAUUUUUGAGUAUUUAGCUACUCUUGGUGCUACUGUAGAAGGGCUUUCAUGUUCAAUUCUUAGAGUUCUAAGUAGUUUGAAUGCUUAAUAUAGCCUCUAGGCACCCAUAUGAGUAGUUGCUAUCAAUCUUGUGAAGUUUUGUUAACAAAUUUUUGUGACCCAGAAAUUUCAGAAAUUUGUACGUGAAUAAAAAUUACCUCUUUGGAAGGAGUUCUUCGAGGAGGAGGUCCUCAGAGGCAUCAUCGAGCGGUAGCUUGAUACGACAGUCCUAUGUUGAGCCAAGUGCAAGCUCGAUGCGGGAUGCCAAUACCAAAUCAUGCCUAUGGCCAUGUAACGAGUUCAUGGUAGCUGCGGGUAUCAACGAAGAAUUUGAGCAAUGUGUUCACAACGUCGAACUCGUUCCCUUCAUCGCAGAUGAGUGCAUCCAACAUCUCAACCUUACAGAGACAUUCACUAAGAAAUUUAAAUAUCAUCCUCAUGAGUCUGGAGUUUCAUUUAGCCUUUAUAAUAAUGCUUUUACCAUGCCUCUAGAAGCCUUCUGUGUUGCAUGUAAAAUUCCAUAUUGGGGCUCGCUAGAUGGACUACCAAAAUCUAAGUAUGAGUCAUUUUUGACUAGUCUUUGUUACGAUGAGGAUAGAGGAGUGACACAAGGUAGAAUAAAAAGUAUUAAUAUUCCAUCGAUUCAUUACUUUGCACUCUUUAAUGGCAAAUGUGUCGUGAGCAAGCAAGAUUGCAACACACUAUGUGCCCCUAACUUGAGCCUCAUACACACUGCUCUGACAGGAAUUAAAUGUUAUAAUCUUGGAGCGAUCGUUGCAUGGAGGUUGCAAUGCAACACUGAUAGUGGUCACUUUUAUGGUGGGAUUUAUACAUCCCCUGUAUCUAAGGAUCUGGAUGUGUCACCUUGGCCUAAUGAUCCCAUUCUGCCUACUCAGUACUUAGACUUUGAGGCCAUGAAGUGCCAUAAGUUCCUUAAGGGCACAACCACUAAUUAUACUUACAACCUGAUGUUCAAUAAAAUCCCAUUGUACCUGUUAGUUUGCCUGCACCUGCUCUCUUUGAUUAUCACGGUAAAGGAAGAUAUUAUGUUCUUGAGAGCGAGGCACACGCGUACAAUGCGGAGGUCGAGGCUGCUCGACAUGUUGAGGAGGCCGCACCAAGGGCCUCUGUGAGCUAUCACUCUGACUAUUACCAAGGCUACGGGUGGUGAUUACCAAGCUAGGCCAAAAUCCUAAACUUGGGGAGUACGUACUUCCACCAAUAUUAUAUUCAUGUUCACACAUUUCAUUCUAGUUGUCGGUGUUCACACUUUUUCAUUGUAUUAUCCAUGCUAGAUUAAUUUUCUUGCUUUCUUGUGUGUUUGAAAAACUUUGAGAAAAUCCAAAAAUAUUUCUUGCUUCUUUUCGUUUUUAUUUCUACUUUAAUUUAGUUGUAGUAUUAAAAGGAAACUCAAAAAUAUUUCUCAUUUCUUGUUUUGCUUGUUGGGAGCUUUCCCGUGUAAAUAGUUUUCUCAUUUUUGUUUUUCCUUCUUUAAUUUGCUUUCUUCAAGAAAAACUAAAAACUCCAAAAAAUACCUCAGUGUGUUUCUCUAAAAUUCUUUUCCUUUUCUUUGUUGAGUCAUACCAAGGGGAACACCACGAUGAAAAUGUUGAGUGGCUCUCAUAUGCAUUAUUGUUGAUCUAAUAAAGAGCCUAUAUUAUUUCUCCUCCGAAUAAAAUAUUGCAGAUUCCAGGUUAGUCCACAGCACACUUGCACUAUUAUUAUUUUCAUGUCAUUCGGUCGUGCAAGUGAAAGAAAUAAUGACGAUAUCUGAUGAAGUGAUUGUGGCAGGGAAAAGCGCGUAUGAACUCAACUUGUUUUUGUUUUUGUAAAUAUGUUUAACUUAGUAUCCAUGAUUCAACAUGUUAUGAUUAAAUACGUUUGCAAUGACAAUUAGAGAUUAUACUUGCUCAUGCCAUGCUUAAGUAGCUAGGAGUGGAUAAUGAUUUAUCUUGGGCAUCAACACACAUUAAAAUGAUUGUGAUGUAGUAUGAUGAUAUGGUAUUGAUACAUCUCCAACGUAUCUAUAAUUUUUGUUUGUUCCAUGCUGUUAUAUUAUCAUUCUUGGAUGUUUUACAAUCAUUUUAUAGCAACUUUAUAUCAUUUUUGGGACUAACCUAUUGACAUAGCAACUUUAUAUUAUCAUGCAUUUUUUUGCUUGUUUUUUACUUUGCAGAAAAUCAAUACCAAACAGAGUCCAAACACAGCAAAACUUUUUGGAGAAUUUUUCUGGGCCAGAAGACACCUGAUGGGCCAAAGAAGUACCAGAGGGGGCUCUAAGGGGAGCACAACCCACCAGGGCGCGCCCAGGUGGGUUGUGCCCACCUCGCUGGCCUCCCGCACAGCCUCUUCGCCCUAUAAAUCCCCAAAUAUUCCAGAAACACUAGGGGGGCGAUGAAACACAAUUCCAGCCGCCGCAAGUUCCAGAACCACGAGAUCCAAUCUAAACACCAUCACGAAGGGGUUCAUCAUCCUCAUUGGUGCCUCUCUGAUGAUGCGUGAGUAGUUCAUCAUAGACCUACGAGUCUGUAGGUAGUAGCUAGAUGGCUUCCUCUCUUUCUCUCUCUCUCUCUCUCUCUCUCUCUCUCUUGAUUCUAAAUAUAGUGGUCUCUUGGAGAUCUAUUUGAUGUAACUCUUUUUGCGGUGUGUUUGUUGGGGUCCGAUGAAUUUUGAGUUUAUGACCAGAUCUAUAUCCAUGAAUAUUAUUUGAGUCUUCUUUUGAUCUGUUAUAUGCAUGAUUAUUUAUAGCCUCGUAUUACUCUUCAAAUCUUUGGUUUAGUUAGGCCAACUAGAUCGAUUUUUCUUGCCAUGGGAAGAGGUGCUUUGUGAUGGGUUCGAUCAUGCGGUGUUCUUUCCCAGUGACAGAAGGGGCAGCAAGACACACAUGUAUCGUUGGUAUUAAGGAUAACAAGAUGGGGGCUAUUACACAUGAAUAGAUCUCGUCUACAUCAUGUCAUCAUUCUUAUUGCAUUACUUCGUUUCUCCAUGAACUUAAUACACUAGAUGCAUGCUGGAUAGCGGUCGAUGUGUGGAGUAAUAGUAGUAGAUGCAGGCAGGAGCCGGUCUACUAAUCUUGGAUGUGAUGCCUAUAUAUUGAUCAUUGCCUUGGAUAUCGUCAUAAUUAUUCAAUCUUCUAUCAAUUGCCCAAUAGUAAUUUGUUUACCCACGUGUGCUAUUUCUUGAGAGAAGCCACUAGUGAAAUCUAUGGCCCCCGGGUCUAUUCUUCAUCAUAUUUGCUUUCCGAUCUAUUAUUUGCCACUUUUAUUUUCAGAUUUAUUAUUCCAAAAACCCAAAAAUACCUUGCUGUACUUUUUUAUUACUUAUUUUAUUUCGCGUUUUAUCGAGAGCUAUUUAUCCAAUCUACCAGAAAUUAAUCUAUCUUUUUACCGUGGAGGGAUUGACACCCCAUCUAACACGUCAAACUGCAAGUAUUUGUUCUUUGUGUGCAGGUACCGUUUACAUAGUGUUGCUUGGUUCUCCUACUGGAUUGAUACCUUAGUUUCAUAACUGAGGGAAAUACCUACUGUAGUUGUGCUGCAUCAUCCCUUCUUCUUUGGGGAAAUACUGACGUAGUUCAAGCGACAUCAGGUAUCCUCCUCUGAAUGUUUCCUGUGGCUUGACUUGGCACAUGUUCACACAUGUAGUUGAAUCAAAACCAACAUAGCCUCCACGAUAUUUAUGUUCAUGGUGUUUAUAUCCCACUCAUGCUAGUAUUCAAUGUUGAUUAUUCAUAAUGCAUGUUAGUGAUUGUUUCCGCUCUCUAGCUGGUUGCUUCUAAACCCAUUUUGCUAGCCUUUGCCUGUACUAAGCUGGAAUACUGCUUGUGCGUCAAAAUCCUUAAACCAAAGUUAUUCCAAAUGAGUCCACUAUGUCUACCUAUAUGUGGUAUUACCCUGUCGUCCCAAAUAAGUUUGCAUGUGCCACCUCUGAAUUUUCAAAUGAACAUCUAUCUUGUGUGCCUGGACUGCUCAUGGAGCGGUAGGGGGUGGUCAGUAUCUUCCAUGCUAAGUGGGUUAUUCUCAUGAUGAGUGUUUAUUCACUCGCCCUUGCACGAGAGGGGCCGGUAAUAGGGAUGCCCAGUCCUGAAAUCAAAAAUUGCAAAUAAUUAAACAAAACUCCCCCGGGACUAUUGUUUGUAUGGAUGGCACCCAUGGAUUCGGCUAGCCAUGUCUUGUGUUUGUUGGUGGAGGGGGAGUAAACCUUUUCUUUUACCGCUUGGGAACCGCCGCUAAUGUGUUUAGCAUGGAAGAUAUUGAUAACUCUUGGUCGUGACGUUGACAGGAAGGGUGCACCUCCCAAAAUUACAUUUAUCUCUGAUAUAAACCAUUGAGCUCUGGCACCUAUGCAGAUCAUUGCUUCCCUCUACGAAGGGACUAUCUAUUUUACUAUUAUGUUAUUUUAUUUUUAUGUCGAGUCAUCACCUUCUCAAACAAGCACUAGACCUGAGAGCACUAUUGUCAUCCUCAUGCAUUGUGUAUAGUUAAUGUUGAAUGCAUCAUGAUUGGAUCUCUUCUACCAUGAAUUACAAUGUUUAGUCGCUGCUUGAACUUUGCAGGUGCUCUGCAUUUAUGUUUUGCGGUAUCAGAAAGGGCUAGCGAGAUACCACUGUUGUCAUAUUAUAUCAUGAUUGUUUUGACAAAGUGUUGGCAUUUGAGAUAUCUUAUUAUUGCUCGCUAGCUGGAUAUGCCAUUGAUAUGAGCUAAUAUAAUUUCUGAGAGUUAUUGCUUGCAUGGUUAGACACGAUCUUUGCUGAAAACCUGGGAGCUAUUUAAGAAUAUAUAUGUAAACAAGAACAAAAGAGUUCGUAAAAGUUUUGCUUUAUCACUUUCAGUUUGUCAACUAAAUGGCUUGAGGAAAAGCAAUCGGUUAAGCUUGGGGGAGUUGAUACGUCUCCAUCGUAUCUACUUUUCCUAGUGCUUUUGCUCUUGUUUUGGACUCUAAUUUGCAUGAUAUGAAUGAAACUAACCCAAACUGACGCUCUUUUCAUUAGAACUAUCAUGGUGUUGUUUUUGUGAAAAAAUAAAAGUUCUCGGAUUUGGACGAAACUUUUUUGAGAAUUAUUUUGCAAUAAAUAAAAAUACUGGAACCAAGACUCAUUGGAGGGGGGGCUAGCUGCCCACAAGACACCAGGGCGCGCCACCCCCUCUGACGCGCCCUGGUGGGUGGUGGGGCCCUCGAGGCCCCGUUGACCCUAAUUCUAAUGCUAUAAAAUCCUAUUUUUCCAGAAAAAAUAGGAAAGGAAGUUUUAUCACAUUUUAUGAUACAGAGCUGCCGCCACCUCAUGUUCUUCAUUGGGAGGCCAGAUCUGGAGCCCCUUCGGGGCUCCAGAGAGGGGAUCUUCGGUCUUCGUCAUCAUCAACCAUCCUCCAUCACCAAUUUCAUGAUGGUCACCGUCGGGAGUGACUAACUCCUUUGUAGGCUCGCUGGUCAGUGAGGAGUUGGAUGAGAUUCAUCGUGUAAUCGAGUUAGUUUUGUUAGGGCUUGAUCCCUAGUAUCCACUAUGUUCCGAGAUUGAUGUUGCUAUGACUUUGCUAUGCUUAAUGCUUGUCACAGGGGCUCGAAUGCCAUGAUUUUAGAUCUUAAUCAUUUAUAUUUUCACCAUUAUAUCUAUGUUAGAUUUGAUCUUGCAAGCCAUAUGCACCUAUUAUGUGUUAUGAUCCGUAAACCCCAAGGUGACAAUAACUGGGAUACUUUCUGGUGAUGACCGUAGUUUGAGGAGUUCAUGUAUUCACUAUGUGUUAAUGCUUUGUGUUGGUUCUCUUUUAAAAGGAGGCAUUAAUAUCUCUUAGUUUCCUUAUGGACCCCGCUGCCAUGGGAGGAUAGGACAAAAGAUGUCAUGGAAGUUCUUUUCCAUAAGCACGUAUGACUAUUUAUGGAAUACAUACCUACAUUAUAUUUAUGAACUGGAGCUAGUACUGUGUCGCCCUAGAUUAUGACUAUUAUAUGAUGAAUAUUAUCCCGAAUUCAUUGAUUCAAUGCCUAUGAGUUUUUCACAUAUUGUUCUUGCUGCGGUACUAUUGCUAUUACUACUGUUACAACUACUACAAAACUGUUACUGCUGUUACCGUGACCACUGCUAUCGUUACUACUACUAUCAAACUAUCAUAUUACUGUGCUACUGAUCACUUGCUGUAGAUACUUAAUUAUCCAGGUGUGGCUGAAUUGACAACUCAACUGCUAAUACUUACAAAUAUUCUUUGGCCCCCUUGUGUCGAAUCUAUAAAUUCGGGUUGAAUAAUCUACCUCAAGAACGAUUGCGAUCCCCUAUACUUGUGGGUUAUCAGGACGCUAUUCUGAAAACCAGUGACAGAAAGGAUUAGUAUAAUAGUGAAAAGCAAUUCCUUGGGGACGAAUGAGGUGCAGUCAUUAAACGUCCAAUUCUCUUGUCUGAAGAAAUCCUUAAUAACUGAGGUAACACCGCGCGACGUUAAGGGCGAGCGGUUGGACAACCAACUCUCGAUGCAGGUCAUGAUCGGUCGUGAUGUACUUUGGACACAUCCCCACUUCAUUGUGUUGUUAGCAUUUCAUAAUGUGUGUCUACCAAGACCAUGUUUAAUAUCAUAUGAGAUUCCAAGCACAAGGACAAGGUUGCGUGUCUAAGUCCUCAUACCCAUGACUAUUUCCAUAUCAUUGUAAUAAAUAAAGCAAUAAAUAAAAGGCACAAGGUUAGUAGGGACGAUGCUUGAGUAAUAAAGUGUUCUCAGGGGUUUUGAAGUCGUCACAAUUAGUUUGAUAUACGUACAUAUGCAAAUGCAUAAUUCUAGGUUUGGAUAACUAAGCCACCUUGCAUUAUUUCUAUCAGUAGGAGGGGCCUGGUACAUCAUACAUGCAGUAGCCAGGUAUCACACACGCCACCACCGUUCCUCCCAACAUGCAUGUCUUGAUAACCUACAAGUAUAGGGGAUCGCAACAGUUUUUGAGGGUAGAGUAUUCAACCCAAAUUUAUUGAUUCGACACAAGGGGAGCCAAAGAAUAUUUGCAAGUAUUAGUAGCUGAGUUUUCAAUUCAACCACACCUGGAGAUUAAUUAUCUGCAGCAAGUGAUCAUUAGCACAAUAAUAUGAUAGUUUUGAUAGUAGUAGCAACAGCAGUAGUGACGGUAACAGGGAUAUCAAUGAUUUUGUAGCAAGUGUAACAGUAAUAGUAGCAAUAGUAACUUAGCAAGAUCAAUAUGUAGAAAAUCGCAGGCAUUGGAUCGGUGAAUUCGUUGGAUGAUAUUCAUCAUAUAACAGUCAUAACCUAGGGCGAUACAAAACUAGCUCCAGUUCAUAAGUAUAAUGUAGGCAUGUGUUCCGUAAAUAGUCAUACGUGCUUAUGGAAAGAACUUGCAUGACAUCUUUUGUCCUACCCUCCCGUGGCAGCGAGGUCCAUAAGGAAACUAAGGGAUAUUAAGGCCUCCUUUUAAUAGAGAACCCGAACAAAGCAUUAACACAUAGUGAAUACAUGAACUCCUCAAACUACGGUCAUCAUGGGAUAGUAUCCCGAAUACUGUCACUCUGGGGUUUACGGAUCAUAACACAUAAUAGGUGACUAUAACUUGCAAGAUCGGAUCUAGAACAUAGAUAUAAUGGUGAUAACAUAAAUGGUUCAGAUCUGAAAUCAUGGCACCUGGGCCCAAGUUGACAAGUAUUAAGCAUGGCAAAGUCAUAGCAACAUCAAUCUCAGAACAUAAUGGAUACUAGGGAUCAAGCCGUAACAAAACUAACUCGAUUACAUGAUGAAUCUCAUCCAAUUCCUCACCGACCAGCGAGCCUACGAAGGAAUUACUCACUCCCAGUGGGGAGCAUCAUGGAAUUGGCGAUGGAGAAAGUUUGGUGAUGACGAAGAUCGAAGAUCCCCCUCUCCGGAGCCCCAAAGACUCCAGAUAAGGCCUCCCAUUGAAGAAUAGGAGGUGGCGGCAGCUCUGUCUCAUGAAACGCGCUAAUUCUGAAGGAUAUAUGCCCUAGAGGCAAUAAUAAAGUUGUUAUUUAUAUUUCCUUAUGUCAUGAUAAAUAUCUAUUAUUCAUGCUAGAAUUGUAUUAACCGGAAACUUGGUACAUGUGUGAAUACAUAGACAAAACAGAGUGUCCCUAGUAUGCCUCUACUCGACUAGCUUGUGGUUAAGUUGCCUGACCAUAGACAUGUGUUGUCAUUUGAUGAACGGGAUCACAUCAUUAGAGAAUGAUGUGAUGGACAAGACCCAUCCGUUAGCUUAGCAUUAUGAUCGUUUAGUUUAUUGCUAUUGCUUUCUUCAUGACUUAUACAUGUUCCUCUGACUAUGAGAUUAUGCAACUCCUGAAUACCGGAGGAACACCUUGUGUGCCAUCAAACGUCACAACGUAACUGGGUGAUUAUAAAUAUGCUCUACAAGUGUCUCCGAAGGUGUUUGUUGGGUUGGCAUAGAUCAAGAUUAGGAUUUGUCACUCCGUGUAUCGGAGAGGUAUCUCUAGGCCCUCUCGGUAAUGCACAUCACUAUAAGCCUUGCAAGCAAUGUGACUAAUGAGUUAGUUGCGGGAUGAUGCAUUACAGAAUGAGUAAAGAGACUUGCCAGUAACGAGAUUGAACUAAUUAUGAGGAUAUUGACGAUCGAAUCUCGGGCAAGUAAUAUACCGAUGACAAAGGGAAUAACGUAUGUUAUUAUGCGGUUUGACCGAUAAAGAUCUUCGAAGAAUAUGUAGGAGCCAAUAUGAGCAUCCAGGUUUCGCUAUUGGUUAUUGACCGGAGAUGUGUCUCGGUCAUGUCUACAUAGUUCUCGAACUCGUAGGGUCCGCACGCUUAACGUUCGAUGAUGAUUUGUAUUAUGAGUUAUGUGAUUUGAUGACCGAAGUUUGUUCGGAGUCCCGGAUGAGAUCACAGUCAUGACGAGGAGUCUAUAAAUGGUCGAGAGGUAAAGAUUCAUAUAUUGGAAGGCUAUAUUCAGACAUCGGAAAGGUUCCGAGUGAUUCGGGUAUUUUACAGAGUACCGGGGAGUUACGGGAAUUCAUCGGGAGAAGUAAUGGGCCUUAUUGGGCCAUACGGAAAAAGAGGAGGCAAACCAAGGGGAGGUGGUGCGCGCCCCCCAUGGGUCCGAAUUAGACUAGGGAAGGGGGCGGCGCCCCCUUGCCCUUUCCUACUCCCUCUCUCUUUCCCUCUUUCCUUCUCUCCUACUCCAAAAAGGAAAGGGAUUCCUACUAGGACUUGGAAGUCCUAGUAGGACUCCAUACUCUUGGCGCGCCCCCCUUGCCCUUUCCUACUCCCUCUCUCUUUCCCUCUUUCCUUCUCUCCUACUCCGAAAAGGAAAGGCAUUCCUACUAGGACUUGGAAGUCCUAGUAGGACUCCAUACUCUUGGCGCGCCCCUAGGGGGCGGCCUCUCUCCCUCCCUCCUUUAUAUACGUGGGCAGGGGACCGGCCUCUCUCCCUCCCUCCUUUAUAUAUGUGAGCAGGGGACACCCCAAAGGUACUACAAGAUUUGUCUUAGCCGUGUGCGGUGCCCCCCUCCACAGUUACACACCUCGGUUAUAUCAUCAUAGUGCUUAGGAGAAGCCCUGCGCCGGUAACUUCAUCAUCACCGCCGCCAUGCUGUCGUGCUGACGGAACUCUCCCUCGUCCUCAACUGGAUCAAGGGCUCGAGGAACGUCAUCAUGCUGAGCGUGUGCUAAACACAAAGGUGCCAUACGUUCGGUACUUGGAUCGGUUGGAUCAUGAAGACGUUCGACUACAUCAACCGCGUUACUAAACGCUUCCGCUUUCAGUCUACGAGGGUACGUGGACACACUCUCCCCGCUCGUUGCUAUGCUUCUCCUAGAUAGAUCUUGCGUGAUUGUAGGAAAUUUUUUGAAUUACUAUGUUCCCCAACAGUGGCAUUCGAGCCAAGUCUAUGCGUAGAUGUUAUAUGCACGAGUAGAACACAAUGAGUUGUGGGCGAUAAUAGUCAUAUUGGUUACCACCAACAUCUUACUUUGAUUCGGUGGUAUUGUUGGAUGAAGCAGCCCAGACCGACAUUACAUGAUCGCAUUCAUGAGACUAGUUCUACCGAUGUGCUUCGCACACAGGUGGCUAGCGGGUGUCUGUUUCUCCAACUUUAGUUGAAUCGAGUUUGAUUACGGCCGGUCCUUGUUGAAGGUUAAAACAACACACUUGACGAAAAAUCGUUGUGGUUUUGAUGCGUAUGUAAGAACGGUUCUUGCUCAAAGCCCAUAGCAGCCACGUAAAACUUGCAACAACAAAGUAGAGGACGUCUAACUUGUUUUUGCAGGGUAUGUUGUGAUGUGAUAUGGUCAAGACGUGAUGAGAUAUAAAUUGUUGUAUGAGAUGACAUGUUUUGUAAAAGUUAUCGCUGGCAGGAGCCUUAUGGUUGUCGCUUUAUUGUAUGAAAUGCAAUCGCCAUGUAAUUGCUUUACUUUAUCACUAAGCGGUAGCAAUAGUCGUAGAAGCAAUAGUUGGCAAGACGACAAUGAUGUUAUGAUGAAGAUCAACGUGUCAAGCCGGUGACGAUGGAGAUCAUGACGGUGCUUUGGAGAUGGAGAUCAAAGGCGCAAGAUGAUGAUGGCCAUAUCAUGUCACAUAUUUUGAUUGCAUGUGAUGUUUAUCCUUUAUGCAUCUUAUUUUGCUUAGUAUGACGGUAGCAUUAUAAGAUGAUCCCUCACUAAAUUUCAAGGUAUAAGUGUUCUCCCUGAGUAUGCACCGUUGCUAUAGUUCGUCGUGCCGAGACACCACGUGAUGAUCAGGUGUGAUAAUCUCUACAUUCACAUACAACGGGUGCAAUCCGGUUUUGCACACACAGAAUAUUCGGGUUAAACUUGACGAGCCUAGCAUAUGCAAAUAUGGCCUCCGAACACUAAGACCGAAAGGUCGAACAUGAAUCAUAUAGUAGAUAUGAUCAACAUAGUGAUGUUCACCAUUGAAAACUACUCCAUCUCACGUGAUGAUCGGACAUGGUUUAGUUGAUAUGGAUCACAUGAUCAUUUAGAUGACUAUAGGGAUGUCUAUCUAAGUGGGAGUUCUUAAGUAAUAUGAUUAAUUGAACUUUAAUUUUUCAUGAACUUAGUCCUGAUAGUAUUUGCAUAUCUAUGUUGUAGAUCAAUAGCUCGCGUAUAGCUCCCUAUUUUAUUUUUGAUAUGUUCCUAGAGAAAACUAAGUUGAAAGAUGAUAGUAGCAAUGAUGCGGACUGGGUCCAUGAUAUGAGGAUUAUCUCAUUGCUGCACAGAAGAAUUAUGUCCUUGAUGCACCACUAGGUGACAGACCGAUUGCAGGAGCAGAUGCAGAUGUUAUGAACGUUUGGCAUGCUCGAUAUGAUGACUACUUGAUGGUUUAGUGCACCAUGCUUUACGGCUUAGAAUUGGGGCUUCAAAGACGUUUUGAACACCACGGAGCAUAUGAGAUGUUCCAAGAGUUGAAAUAGUAUUUCAGACUCAUGCCUAUGUCGAGAGGUAUGAGACCUUUGACAAGUACUUUGCCUACAAGAUGGAGGAGAAUAGCUCAGCUAGUGAGCAUGUGCUUAGAAUGUCUGAGUACUACAAUCACUUGAAUCAAGUGGGAGUUAAUCUUCCAGAUAAGAUAGUGAUUACAAAGUUCUCUAGUCACUAUCACCAAGUUACUAGAACUUCAUGAUGAACUAUAGUACACAAGGGAUAGUGGAAACGAUUCCCAAGCUCUUCGCGAUGCUGAAAUCGGCGAAUGUAGAAAUCAAGAAAAAGCAUCAAGUGUUGAUGGUUGACAAGACCACUAGUUUCAAUUAAAAGGGCAAUGGAAAGAAAGGGAACUUCAAGAAGAAUGGCAAGCAAGUUGCCACUCCCAUGAAGAAGCCCAAAGCUAGACCUAAGCAUGAAACUAAGUGCUUCUACUGCAAAGGAAUGGUCACUAGAAGCGGAACUACCCCAAAUACUUGUCGGAUAAGAAGGAUGGCAAAGUGAACAAAAGUAUAUUUGAUAUACAUGUUAUUGAUGUGUACUUUACUAGUGUUCAUAGUAGUCCCUGGGUAUUUGAUACCGGUUCAGUUGCUAUGAUUAGUAACUCGAAACAGGAAUUACAAAAUGAACGGAGACUAGUUGAGGGCGAGGUGACGAUGUGUGUUGGAAAUGAUUCCAAGGUUGAUAAGAUCACCAUCACAUACUCCCUCUACCUUCGGGAUUAGUAUUGGAACUAAAUAAAUGUUAUUUAUUUGGUGUUUGCGUUGAGCAUGAAUAUGAUUGGGUCAUGUUUACUGCGAUACAAUUAUUCAUUUAAGUCAGAGAAUAAUUGUUGUUCUGUCUACAUGAAUAAAACCUUCUAUGGUCUUACAUCCAAUGUAAAUGGUUUACUGAAUCUCGAUCGCAAUGAUACACAUAAUAUUGAUGACAAAAGAUGCAAAGUUGAUAAUGAUAGUGCAACAUAUUUGUGGCACUGCCGUUUAGGUCAUAUUGGUGUAAAGCACAUGAAGAAACUCCAUGCAGAUGAACUUUUGGAAUCACUUGAUGCUUGUGAACCAUGCCUCAUAGGCAAGAUGACUAAGACUCCGUUCUCCGGAACAAUGGAGCGAGCAACUGACUUAUUGGAAAUAAUACGUACCGAUGUAUGUGGUCCGAUGAGUGUUGAGGCUCGCGGCAGGUAUCGUUAUUUUCUAACCUUCACAGAUGAUUUGAGUAGAUAUGGGUAUAUCUACUUAAUGAAACACAAGUCUGAAACAUUUGAAAAGUUCAAAGAAUUUCAGAGUGAAGUGGAAAAUCAUCGUAACUAGAAAAUAAAGUUUCUAGGAUCUAAUCGCGGAGGCGAAUAUUUGAGUUAUGAGUUUGGUCUUCAUUUAAAACAAUGUGAAUAGUUUCGCAACUCACGCCACCUGGAACACCACAGCGUAAUGGUGUGUCCGAACAUUGUAACUGUACUUUUUUGUAUAUUUUGCGAUCUAUGAUGUCUCUUACGAUUUACCAUUAUCGUUUUGGGGUUAUGCAUUAGAGACAGCUGCAUUCACGUUAAAUAGGGCACCAUCUUAAUCCGUUGAGACGACACCGUAUGAACUAUGGUUUGGCAAGAAACCUAAGUUGUCAUUUAUUAAAGUUUGGGGCUGCAGUGCUUAUGUGAAAAAGCUUCAACCUGAUAAGCUCGAACCCAAAUCGGAGAAAUGUGUCUUCAUAGGAUACCCAAAGGAGACUGUUGGGUACACCUUCUAUCACAUAUCCGAAGGCAAGAUAUUCGUUGCUAAGAAUGGAUCCUUUCUAGAGAAGGAGUUUCUCUCGAAAGAAGUGAGUGGGAGGAAAGUAGAACUUGAUGAGGUAAUUGUACCUUCUCCCAAAUUGGAAGUAGUUCAUCACAGAAAUCAGUUCCAAUGAUUCCUACACCAAUCAGUGAGGAAGCUAAUGAUGAUGAUCAUGAAACUUUAGAUCAAGUUACUACCGAACCUCGUAGGUCAACCAGAGUACGAUCCGCACCAGAGUGGUAUGGUAAUCCUGUUCUGGAAGUCGUGUUACUAGACCAUGAUGAACCUACGAACUAUGAGGAAGUGAUGAUGAGCCUAGAUUCCGCAAAAUGGCUUGAGCCAUGAAAUCUGAGAUAUGAUCCAUAUAUAAGAACAAAGUGUGGACUUUGGUGGACUUGCCCGAUGAUCGGCAAACCAUUGAGAAUAAAUGGAUCUUCAAGAGGAAGAUGGACGAUGAUGGUAGUGUUACUACCUACAAAGCUCGACUUGUCGUGAAAGGUUUUCGACAAGUUCAAGGUGUUGACUAUGAUGAGAUUUUCUCACUCGUAGCGAUGCUUAAGUCUGUCCGAAUCAUGUUAGCAAUUGCUGCAUUUUAUGAAACUGGCAAAUGGAUAACAAAACUGCAUUCCUUAAUGGAUUUAUUAAAUAAGAGUUUUAUAUGAUGCAACCAGAAGGUUUUGUUAAUCCUAAAGGUGCUAAAAAAUGUGGAAGCUCCAGCGAUCCAUCAAUGGAUUGGUGCAAGCAUCUCGGAGUUGUAAUAUACGCUUUGAUGAAUUGAUCAAAGCAUAUAGUUUUAUACAGACUUGCGGUGAAACCUGUAUUUACAAGAACGUGAGUGGGAGCACUACUGCCUUUCUGAUAAGUAUAUGUGAAUGACAUAUUGUUGAUCAGAAAUGAUGUAGAAUUUUCUGGAAAGCAUAAAGGAGUGUUUGAAAGGAGUUUUUCAAAGGAAGACCUCAGUGAAGCUUGUUACAUAUUGGGAAUCAAGAUCUAUAGAGAUAGAUCAAGACACUUGAUAAGAUUUUUCAAUGAGUACAUACCUUGACAAGAUUUUGAAGUAGUUCAAAAUGGAACAGUCAAAGGAGUUCUUGCCUGUAUUACAAGGUAUAAAGUUGAGUAAGACUCAAAACCCGACCACGGAAGAAAAUAGAAAGAGAAUGAAAGUCAUUCCCUAUGCCUCAGCCAUAGGUUCUAUAAAGUAUGCUAUGUUGUGUACCAGACCUGUUGUGUACCUUGCCAUGAGUUUGGCAAGCGGGUACGAUAGUGAUCCAGGAGUGGAUCACUCAACAGUGGUCAAAGUUAUCCUUAGAGGACUAAGGAAAUAUUUCUUGGUUAUGGAGGUGAUAAAUAGUUCAUCGUAAAGAGUUACGUCGAUGCAAGCUUUUACACCGAUCCAGACUCUGAGUCACAAUCUGGAUACAUAUUGUAAGUGGGAGCAAUUAGCUAGAGUAGCUCCAUGCAGAGCAUUGUAGACAUAGAAAAUUUGCAAAAUACAUACGACUCUGAAUAUGACAGACCCGUUGACUAAACUUCUCUCACAAGCAAAACAUAAUCACACCUUAGUACUCUUUGGGUGUUAAUCACAUAGCGAUGUGAACUAGAUUAUUGACUCUAGUAAACCCUUUUGGUGUUUGUCAUGGAAAGGUCACGACAGAUGUCCUAGCAAAAGGACUUAGUCGUGGAGCCGUCGCAACUAGGAUGCUUAAAGGGGUUAAAUGGGAUAAAGGACACGGGAGUUUAUACUGGUUCGGCCCCUUGCUAUGAAGGUAAAGGCCUAAUCCAGUUUGAGGUGGUAUUGCUUAUGUCUCGAUUACCAGGGAGCGAAUCCGCUUGACCUAGCUUUCGAUCUGUUGUCUCUUGUCCUGAAUCACCGUCGGGUCGUCCCUUUAUAUACACAGGUCGACGCCCAUCGGCCCAUAGAGUCCCGGCCAGCUCAUAAACAGUGUCCAUCUCGGUGACUAUCUAUUCAUGCCUUACAACACAAGUCAUACAUAUAUGGCCGUUUACCCUUACAGACCUUAAGUUGCCUUUGGGCCUUGGGCCCUUAACUAAACCUCCAUCUUCAAAUAUCUUCGUGGGCUUCAUAUGAUGAAUCGCCAUAGGUAUAACCCGGCCCCUCCUGGGUGGGUCAUACCUAAUAGUUAUAUCCCCAACAUUAGGCCCCAGAUUGAUUUGAACUAGUUCAUGUCAAUCUUCAAUACUUUAGAAAAAAUCUUCUCUUCUUCAUCUGUGCGAGAAUUUAUAACCCACCAUGAUGUAAUCUUCUAGAUUUGUGAUAACCCGCCAUGACAUCACCUACCAUUAAUUCCUACAUAUCUCAUCGAAUCUUUAUCUUAAUAACCGUUCCCAAAAUCGAGGCGUCUGGGUAGCUGGAUAACCAUGUUUCGUCCUCCUCAUUUUUUGUGCCCACUUAUUACACUUUCCUUAUAAAUAGCCGCGACUGGUCUUCUUCUCGUUCUCCCCCUUUUCCAUCGUCUUCUUCCUCUCGCGACCCUCUACCGCUCGAGCUCUGCCGCCACCACCAAGCACCUCGUCCUCCUCAACCUUGGCCGCUGCAUCAACCUGUGUUGGAUCAGAGUACACCGGCGCUCCACCGCAGUCGAGUCUGCACCUGCAAGUGCUUCUCCUCCAGCGCGUCAGAUUGCAUUAGGGUUCCGACUGUUCGUCGUGUUCUUCGUAGUUUCUUCAUAGCUCUUCCACCGUAGCACCUUUUGAUCUAGAAACGGUAUAGAACUUAUGUGGUAGUUGUUUUGUCUUCGCCUUUAAUACUAGCGGACCCCCUUUCCUUGGAAAGAGAUCUCAUUAGAGCUUAUGAACUCCCCUGUACUGCUUUUAGGUCUUUAAUUAUUUCCUUUUUUUGAAUAGCCGCUGAUCUGGAAUAUUACUUGCAAUCUGUGAAACCUGUUUGUACUGUACUUAGCAAAAAACUACACCUUGAUAGAUCCACCUAGCCAUGGCGGCUCAUACUACUAGCUUUAAUUGCAAUGCUCAAUAGAUAACAUCAAAUUGCUCAUGGCAGCUUAGAUAACCUGACGUAAUUAGUCAUAUACCAUUAGGCCCCUUUGUAAGCCGCCAUUCUGAAUAUGUGCUGUAAUACAUUUUUCCUCCGGCUUAAAUUUUGAACCGGCAAAUUUGUUCUUUUUCCUUUUAGGCUUCUUUCUUCACAAUGCCGCCCAAAACAACCACUUCCUGUAAUUGGGUUCGCUCCAUCAUCACGGAGAGUACACUUAAAGACUUUGUGAAAACCGGUUAUCUGCCAAAAAAGGAUAUCAUGUCUUACCGCGCCCCUAAACCGACAGAAGAGAAACCUUAGCCCAAAGAAGGGGAAGUUAUUGUCUUCACCGACCACAUGAACCGGGGCUUUUCGCCGCCCGGCUCUAAGUUCUUCAGGGACGUUCUACACUUUUUCGACCUCCAUCCUCAAGACAUCGGACCCAACUCCGUGUCUAACAUAUGCAACUUUCAAGUGUUCUGUGAGGUGUACCUCGAAGAAGAGCCCAACUUGGAACUUUUCAGAGAAUAUUUUUACUUGAACCGCCAGAACGAAUACUCCAACGGCCCUAGUUUGGAACUUGGCGGGGUCUCAAUCCAACGACGGAGAGAUGCCAUUUUUCCUUAUGCGCAGCUGCCAAGUCAUCACAAGGACUGGAACCAGACAUGGUUCUACUGCAAAGAUACUUGUCCGGCUGACGAGAACCCUCUGCCCAGCUUUCGCGCCCUGCGUCUCGAGUCCAAUCAUCCUCUCCCCAACAAGUUGACAGCUGCUGACCGCAAGAAGCUCGCCCCUACCAUUGCCAAAGUCAAGGCUCAGUUAGGGAACGGCUUAAAUGGCAUUGACUUGGUCCGGUGCUGGGUUGCAUGGCGGAUUAUCCCCUUGAGCCGCCACUCCAGUUUAAUGUGCACUUACACCGGUAGCACAAAGGAUCCACUGUGCCACAGCUCCGAUGAGUUAACUGAUGACCUUAUCAAUGAGAUGACAAAGUCCCUUCUGAAUGAGAGCCUAGCUGAUUGUAGCAAGGUGGGCCUAAGCCCUUUCUGCAAGUCUAACCCCGACACCAAAAGUAAGCUGCCAAACUGGCUAUUUUACUUUCACCCUUAAUACUUUGUAUUAACUCAACCUUGAUGAUUUUCACAGGUUGAUGAUGACUUUUGGAAUAAAGAAUAUGAUCAUGAAGCUGCAAAGAGAGCCAGGAAGGCCAAGAAAGCUUCCAGGAGAGCCACCAAGAAGAGAGGAAUAAACCCGGUGCUUCUGAUUUUUACUUCAAUUGGAUGACACCUCUGAGUCGGAGGUAGCCCUUGAUUCUCUUGGCUCUUUUUUCAACCAUCUUAUUGACACUGACUAUCAUCAGGAUGACAUGGGAACGAGUCAGGGAGUGGAAGAAGAGGUAACUAUUAUUUCCUCUGACUCCGAGCCUUUGCCAAGACAAAAAAUCCGAAGAGUGACCCGGAAAGUAAGAUUUUCACACCCCUUAGCUCAUCUGGAUCCUCACUUUAUUUUGAAGCAACAACAACACGAGAGCCGGUGAUAGACUCGGACGAGCAAGGAUGUUGAACUCUCCUCCGGCCUACCGAACAUGCCGAGCAAGCGUCGAAAUGAGGUCACCCCCGACUUAAACUCUUUUUAUCCUUUGGCGGGUCUCACUCGCCAGCCACUCAAUUCUUCCGACUCAAAUUAUCAGGAAACAUCUCAUUCCUCUUCCGGCGAUUCAAUCCAAUCCAAUAUGUCAUCUUUCAAGACCGCUCCCGGGUAAUGGCAAAUUACUUAUCAUUUACUCAUUUGAAUCCUUUGAUACUUAUACUGACCUUUGUGACUCAUGUAGUGGAAAAGCAAAGCCCAGCAAGAAGGCAAAGAAGAACAAAACAGCCAAAGAGCCGAAAGUCCAUGAGCCAGAGCUCCAAACCGCAGCUCCUGAGGUCUCUGUUCCUGAACCGUCUGAGCCGGCUCAUGAUAUUCCAACAAUGACUGUUGACCCGCCUGUUGAUCAAGCCGCCGAUGACUCUUUAAAUCCUGAAGCUUCAAGCCCUGUCAAGACAGCCAAUACACAAGAUGACGAUGUAGAGAUCACCAAGACCGGCUUUACUGAACCGGGGAGACCUACUGUGCUGGCCAAACAUUCUGCCAAGGAAGAACAUGUUGAGCCGUGCAAAGUGUGAUUUGAUGUCACCAACUAUGCUCAACUGGGCAUUGGUGAAAUAUAUUCUGGCUUUCUCAGCCAAGUACACAGCAGCAGUGACCUUGAAGUGGACAUGGUGAAGCAGAUGCACCACAAAUUUGAGGUAUGGUCUCUUCCACUCUUAAGUCAUGCAUAUCCUGCCAGCCCCCAAGUUUACUGCUUAUUUUGAAUAUGUUGUAGACUUGAUCACCAUGAACAUGGAAAAUAACCUAUGAAACAAUCCUUUCAAAUCCGGCUUAAAGUUGUGUAGUUCUCAUGAGCCGGCUAUGGACGGUUGUAGCACCAAGGUGUCAUCGUGAAAUUGCAAUAAGACAAGCAAUAUGCAUUAGCCCCCAACUGCCAAGUACUCUUGCUUGCAAAGUACUUGGGACUUAUUCACUUAAGCCGCCACGUAAAUAGAACUUUCGGUAGACAUUAGCCCCUAAGUGCCUAGUGUUAUUGCGUGCAAAAGGCUUGGGACUUGAUAUUUUGGACUAACGUUUGAAUUAUGAUGUUGAUCCGGUUUAUGAACAGACCACCACUGAUGAACUUCAAACAGAGAUGUCUGAGUUGAAGACCCGUUUGGAACUACAAGAGGCUCAGACCCAGAAAGCAAACUCAAAGUUUGAAUUUACUGUGGCUGAAUCAGAAAAAGUGAAGGCCAACUUUAAAGUUGAGAAGGACGCCUGGGCUAAAGAGAAAAUUGCCUUGACCCAAUAGGCUGAGAAGGCGGAGGCGGCUCUCCAGGAAGCAAGCACUAAACUGACCGGCUUAAAACGCUAGGUGUCUCAGAUGGUGUCUGCUAUCUUUGGUAAGUCGCCUGAUGAUUGCCAAAUUUUGAAUAUCCUCCUUGACGAUAUUAUCUGCUUUUAACCCAUCCAAUGAUCACUUUGCAGGCCCUCGAAGCACCAAUCUGAACCAAGACAUGUUGGUGAAGCUGAAGGCAGUUUACACAUUGGUGGAGCAGCUUUACACUGGUGCUCAACGCGCAUUGGCCACAAUUGCUCCAUCCAAUGAAUCCCCCAUACUCUUGGUUGACGUGCUAAGGAAGCUUUCUAUGCUGCCACAAUGGUUUAAUGAAAUGAAGCGAUCAUCUGCGAGAGCCGGAGCCGUGACUGCCUUAAGCCGGGCCAAAGCAUGGCUACCGGAAUUAGACCCGGUCGACAACUCUAUCGGGUAUCCAAGCCUCAAGGAAGACGGCACUCCGUUUGAACAGAAGGACUUUGCUGCUUGCGUGAAGGAGAUACGUCCUCUGGCUAGCCUGAUUGCCAAUGAGACAGACCUCACCAAGUAUCAUCCGGCUUAUGACAUGGGAAAUCAGAAGAUGCCAACACCGUCUUAUAAAGUGACAUGCCUGAUCCCCCCAAUCCGUAAGCACACCUUUGCCCCUGAAGUUGACUCGUCCAAGCUAACUGUGAUGAAGCUGAGUUCCAAGCUUUGAGUGGCAUUGACUGGUCGUCAUCAACCUUUCAGGACGUAGAACAGGACAAAGAAGCGGAGAGGGUUGAGCCGGAAGCAUCAGGCCAGCAAGAAGAUUGAUCCGCUGGGCGGUUCAUAUUUAUGGCCUUCUGAAAGACAGUUAAGUAUUUGGACUCUGGGAGUCAUGUAAUAGGGUAGCAACAGCUUUGCUCUACCAUGCCAUCAUGCACGUUUUUGUGUUAUGCUCCAUAUUGUUAAACUGCCACCUGAGAGUUAUGAUUUUUGAGUGGUGUAGAAAAAUUUCAACUUUAUCCUGCACACAAGUAAAUCAAAAGAGAUCCCUUGGCGGUUUAUUGCAGGGCGGGUCAUAAUAUCUCGUAUGCACCCACUGAUGCUUAAACAGUUAUGGAUAAGGUUUGUUGAACCUUAAUUGAAAAUAAUAAUGAUAUCAUACCUGUGAUAUGUAAUUGCACUGCCGGUUUACGAUACAUGUGCAGUACGGGUGAGCACCCAAAGCUUUUUUAGAAGCCAAUAAGUCCAAGUGCUGGACAACAUCAUGUAUGGGCGGCUUGUCGCCUUUGUGUUAAGUCGGGUAAUGAAAACCACGGUAAGCUUCAAAUAUGAGCUUAUGAAAGUGAAGGAUGUAUGGCCAAAAUUACUUUUAAAUCAGCAGGCAAGAUAUUAUCAAGAAGAACCAGAAAAAACUUCAAGAAAUCAAGCCAAAUGUCAAAAAGCGAGGCUAUGGUUCGAAUACGACCAGGAAGCCGGACCAAAAGGGUUAGUAGCUAUGAUUCUAAGACGAUUAGAAAGCCCCCUAAUGGUUUUUGGCAUUGCAUCGAUCAAAGGGGUACCGACAGCUAUGAUUCGAAUACGAUCAGGAAGCCCCCCAGUGACCUUGAAGUGUUUGGCAUUGUGUCGAUCAAGAGGGUACCGACAACUAUGUUCUCUUUGGUGAAUACACCUAUGUUUGAACAGGAAGCCCCCAAAUGACCUUGAAGUGUUGUCAUUGCGCCGAUCAAGAGGGUACCGAUAGUUAUGUUCUCUUUGGUGAAUACACCUAUGUUUGAACAGGAAGCCCACAAAUGACCUUGAAGCUUUUAACGACUCUGAUUCGAAUACGAUCAGUAAGCCGGACCAAAAGGGGUUAAGCUAUGAUUGAAUACGAUCUAGACCCCAAAUGAUCUAAGUGUUUACGGCUAUGGUUCGAAUAUGACCAGGAAGCCGGCCAAAAGGGGUUAAUAGCAUGAUUUGUAUACGACCCGCCCCCAAUUGGUCUUUGAAAUUAUGAUGACGAAGAGGCAUGAUUGUUGAAGAUGAAACAACAGAGACCCUGCUUUAUUAUAAUCAUCAUAAUAUAUACAUCGUCAAAAAUAUGUACAUCAUAAGAGUCGAUGGCUCAAGUGUAGUAAGGCCGAAGAUGAGCAAUAUUCCACGUCCGGCGGGUCUCCUCCUCCGACUUACUUGAGUCCUUGUGCUCUCGAAUAUCGAUAAGGUAGUAUGACCCAUUGUUCAAGUUCUUGCUGACCACAAAGGGCCCUUCCCAAGGUAGGGAUACCUUGUGCAUGUCAGUCUAAUCCUGGAUGAGCCGGAGCACCAAAUCACCUUCUUGAAAGGUUCUAGACUUAACCCGACGGCUGUGGUAACGGCGCAGAUCUUGUUGGUAAAUCACCGAGCGGGCUGCCGCAAGGUCACGCUUCUCAUCCAAUAGGUCAAGUGCAUCCUGAUGUGCUUGUUCAUUAUCAGCUUCAAUGUAGGCCGCCACACGGGGCGACUCAUGGCGGAUGUCACUAGGAAGAACCGCCUCUACUCCAUAAACCAUGAAGAAAGGCGUGUAACCCAUAGACCUGUUGGGGGUAGUAUUGAUACUCCAUAUCACAGAGGGUAACUCCUCCAACCGACAACCUAGUGUCUGUUGCAAAGGAACCAUAAGCCGGGGCUUGAUGCCUCUCAAAAUUUCUUGAUUGGCUCUUUCAGCUUGACCAUUGGAUUAGGGGUGAGCUACUGAUGACACAUCAAGGCGAAUAUGCUCACGUUGACAAAACUAUUUCACAACACCUUUGGACAAAUUAGUGCCAUUAUCAGUUAUGAUACUAUGGGGAAAGCCAAAGCGAAAUCACCUUUUUAACGAAUUGAACCGCUGUUGUCGCAUCACACUUACUGAUCGGCUCUGCUUCAACCCAUUUUGUAAAUUUGUCAACCGCCCCCAAGAGGUGGGUCUUUUUAUCCUUGGACCUUUUAAAAGGCCCAACCAUAUCAAGCCCCCAGACUGCAAACGGCCAAGUAAUUGGAAUCAUCCUCAAUUCUUGAGCCGGCACAUGAGCUCGUCAUGAAAAUUUCUGGCAGCCAUCACAUUUACUGACCAGAUCCUCUGCAUCAGCGUGAGCUGUCAGCCAACAAAAUCCAUGACGAAAAGCUUUGGCCACAAGGGACUUUGAACCAGCAUGAUGACCACAAUCUCCUUCAUGAAUCUCAUGGCCCUCCUCGGGAGAGACGCAACACUGAAACGCCCCAGUGACACUGCGAUGGUGUAACUCGCCAUUGGCAAUUGUCAUUGACUUGGACCGUCGGGUUAUCUGCGAGGCCAAAGUUUCAUCCUCAGGUAAUUCGCCCCGGGUCAUGUAAGCCAAAUAUGGUACUGUCCAAUCUGUGAUGGUGUGGAGAGCCGCCACCAAUUGUGCCUCCGGGUUAAGAACAGCCAGGUCUUCCUCUGUAGGCAACUUGACAGAAGGGUUAUGCAGAAUAUCCAAGAAAGUGUUAGUGUUGGAAAUAUGCCCUAGAGGCAAUAAUAAAAGGAUUAUUAUUAUAUUUCCUUGUUCAUGAUAAUUGUCUUUUAUUCAUGCUAUAAUUGUAUUAUCCGGAAAUCGUAAUACAUGUGUGAAUACAUAGACCACAACAUGUCCCUAGUGAGCCUCUAGUUGACUAGCUCGUUAAUCAACAGAUAGUCAUGGUUUCCUGACUAUGGACAUUGGAUGUCAUUGAUAACGAGAUCACAUCAUUAGGAGAAUGAUGUGAUGGACAAGACCCAAUCCUAAGCAUAGCACAAGAUCGUGUAGUUCGUUUGCUGGAGCUUUUCCAAUGUCAAGUAUCUUUUCCUUAGACCAUGAGAUCGUGUAACUCUCGGAUACCGUAGGAGUGCUUUGGAUGUACCAAACGUCACAACGUAACUGGGUGACUAUAAAGGUAUACUACGGGUAUCUCCGAAAGUGUCUAAUGGGUUGACACGGACCGAGACUUGGAUUAGUCACUCCGUAUGACAGAGAGGUAUCUCUGGGCCCACUCGGUAAUGCAUCAUCAUAACGAGCUCAAAGUGACCAAGUGUCUGGUCACGGGAUCAUGCAUUGCGGUACGAGUAAAGUGACUUGCCGGUAACGAGAUUGAACGAGGUAUUGGGAUACCGACGAUCGAAUCUCGGGCAAGUAACAUACCGAUUGACAAAGGGAAUUGUAUACGGGGUUGCUUGAAUCCUCGACAUCGUGGUUCAUCCGAUGAGACCAUCGAGGAGCAUGUGGGAGCCAACAUGGGUAUCCAGAUCCCGUUGUUGGUUAUUGACCGGAGAGCCGUCUCGGUCAUGUCUACGUGUCUUCCGAACCCGUAGGGUCUACACACUUAAGGUUCGGUGACGCUAGGGUUGUAGAGAUAUAAGUAUGCAGCAAACCGAAAGUUGUUCGGAGUCCUGGAUGAGAUCCCGGACGUCAUGAGGAGUUCCGGAAUGGUCCGGAGGUAAAGAAUUAUAUAUGGGAAGUCGGGUUUCGGCCAUCGGGAAAGUUUCGGGAGUCACCGGUAUUGUACCGGGACCACCGGAAGGGUCCCAGGGGUCCACCGGGUGGGGCCACCUAUCCCAGAGGGCCCCAUGGGCUGAAGUGGGAGGGGAACCAGCCCCUGGUGGGCUGGUGCGCCCCCCACCCCCCUUGCCCCCCCCCCUGCGCCUAGGGUUGGGAACCCUAGGGAAGGGGGCGCCUCCACUUGCCUUGGGGGGCAAGGCACCCCCCUUGGCCGCCGACCCCUAGGAGAUCCCAUCUCCUAGGGUCGGCGCCCCCCUGGGGACCCUAUAUAGAGGGGGGCAGGGAGGGCAGCGGCACCCUUGCACUUGGCGCCUCCCUUCCCCCUUGCUACACCUCUCCCUCCCGCGGACGCUUGGCGAAGCCCUGCCGGGAUCCCUGCUGCAUCCACCACCAUGCCGUCGUGCUGCUGGAUCUUCAUCAACCUCUCCUCCCCUCUUACUGGAUCAACAAGGAGGAGACGUCACGCUGACCGUACGUGUGUUGAACGCGGAGGUGCCGUCCGUUCGGCGCUAGGAUCUCCGGUGAUUUGGAUCACGACGAGUACGACUCCCUAAACCCCGUUCUCUUGAAUGCUUCCGCUCGCGAUCUACAAGGGUAUGUAGAUGCACUCCCCUCUCUCGUUGCUAUAUGAACUCAUAGAUUGAUCUUGGUGAACGUAGGAAAUUUUUUAUUUUAUGCAACGUUCCCCAACAGUGGCAUCAUGAGCUAGGUCUAUGCGUAGUUCUCUUUGCACGAGUAGAACACAAAUCUGUUGUGGGUGUAGAUGUUGUCAACUUUAUUGCCACUACUAGUCUUAUUUUGCUUCAGCGGUAUUGUGGGAUGAAGAGGCCCGGACCGACCUUACAUGUACGCUUACGUGAGACAGGUUCCACCGACUAACAUGCACUAGUUUCAUAAGGUGGCUAGCGGGUGUCUGUCUCUCCCACUUUAGUUGGAGCGGAUUCGAUGAAAAGGGUCCUUAUGAAGGGUAAAUAGAAGUUGACAAAUCACGUUGUGGCUUUUUCGUAGGUAAGAAAACGUUCUUGCUAGAACCCUAUUGCAGCCACGUAAAAGAUGCAACAACAAUUAGAGGACAUCUAACUUGUUUUUGCAGCAAUUGCUUUGUGAUGUGAUAUGGCCAAAACUUGUGAUGAAUGAUGAACGAUAUAUUGUGAUGUAUGAGAUCAUGUUCUUGUAAUAGGAAUCACGACUUGCAUGUCAUGAGUAUGACAACCGGCAGGAGCCAUAGGAGUUGUCUUAAUUAUUGUAUGACCUGCGUGUCAAUGAUUUAACGCCAUGUAAUUACUUUACUUUAUUGCUAAACCGUUAGCUAUAGUAGUAGAAGUAAUAGUUGGCGAGCAACUUCAUGGAGACAAGAUGAUGGAGAUCAUGAUGAUGGAGAUCAUGGUGUCAUGCCGGUGACGAAGAUGAUAAUGGAGCCCCGAAGAUGGAGGUCAAAGGAGCUAUAUGAUAUUGGCCAUAUCAUGUCACUACUAUUUGAUUGCAUGUGAUGUUUAUCAUGUUUUUGCAUCUUGUUUACUUAGAACGACGGUAGUAAAUAAGAUGAUCCCUCAUAAUAAUUUCAAGAAAGUGUUUCCCCUAACUGUGCGCCGUUGCGACAGUUCGUUGUUUCGAAGCACCACGUGAUGAUCGGGUGUGAUAGAUUCUAACGUUCACAUACAACGGGUGUAAGACAGAUUUACACAUGCAAAACACUUAGGUUAACUUGACGAGCCUAGCAUGUACAGACAUGGCCUCGGAACACAAGAGACCGAAAGGUCAAACAUGAGUCAUAUGGAAGAUACGAUCAACAUGGAGAUGUUCACCGAUGAUGACUGGUCCGUCUCACGUGAUGAUCGGACACGACCUAGUCGACUCGGAUCAUGUAACACUUAGAUGACUAGAGGGAUGUCUAAUCUGAGUGGGAGUUCAUUAAAUAAUUUGAUUAGAUGAACUUAAUUAUCAUGAACUUAGUCUAAAAUCUUUGGAAAAAUGUCUUGUAGAUCAAAUGGCCAACGCUCAUGUCAACAUGAACUUCAACGCGUUCCUAGAGAAAACCAAGCUGAAAGAUGAUGGCAGCAACUAUACGAACUGGGUCCGGAACCUGAGGAUCAUCCUCAUAGCUGUCAAGAAAGCAUAUGUCCUUGAAGCACCGUUAGGUGACCCACCUGCUCUCCCAGCACUGCAAGAUGAUUUGAACGUUUGGCAGACACGUGCUGAUGAUUACUCCCUCGUUCAGUGCGGCAUGCUUUACAUCUUAGAACCGGGGCUCCAAAAGCGUUUUGAGCAACACAGAGCAUAUGAGAUGUUUGAGGAGCUGGAAAUGGUUUUCCAAGCUCACGCCCGGGUCGAGAGAUAUGAAGUCUCCGACAAGUUUUAUAGUUUUAAGAUGGAGGAAAAUAGUUCUGUCAGUGAGCACAUACUCAAAAUGUCUGGGUUGCACAACCGGCUGUCCCAGCUGGACAUUAACCUCCCGGACGAGGCGUUCAUUGACAGAAUCCUUCAGUUGCUCCCACCGAGCUACAAGAGCUUUGUGAUGAACUACAAUAUGCAGGGGAUGGUGAUGUUGGGUAACAUAGCAGAAAUUCAAAAUUUUCCUACGCGUCACCAAGAUCUAUCUAUUGAGAAACCAGCUACGAGUAGAAGGAGAGUGCAUCUACAUACCCUUGUAGAUCGCUAAGAGGAAGCGUUCAAGUGAACGGGGUUGAUGGAGUCGUACUCGUCGUGAUUCAAAUCACCGAUGAUCAAGUGCCGAACGGACGGCACCUCCGCGUUCAACACACGUACAGCCCGGUGACGUCUCCCACGCCUUGAUCCAGCAAGGAGAGAGGGAGAGGUUGAGGAAGACUCCAUCCAACAGCAGCAUAACGGCGUGGUGGUGAUGGAGGAGCGUGGCAAUCCAGCAGGGCUUCGCCAAGCACCAUGGGAGAGGAGGAGGAGGAGAGGCAGGGCUGCACCAACGAGAGAUCAAAUCGCGUGUUAUGGGCAGCCCUAUGCCUCACUAUUUAUAGGGGGAGAGGGGGCUGCGCCCCCUUCUAGGGUUUCCCACCCCCAAGGGGUGCGGCCAGCCCUAGAUGGCAAAGGGGGCGGCGGCCAGGAGGGGGAGAGAGGGGAGGCGCCCACUAGGUGGGCCUUAAGGCCCAUCUGGACUAGGGUUUGCCCCCUCCCACUCUCCCUUGCGCCUUGGCCCCUUGUAGGGGGCGCACCAGCCCACCUAGGGGCUGGUCCCCUCCCACACAUGGCCCACGCAGCCUUCUGGGGCAGCUGGCCCCACUUGGUGGACCCCCGGGACCCUCCCGGUGGUCCCGGUACAAUACCGAUAUCGCCCGAAACUUUUCCGGUGACCAAAACAGGACUUCCCAUAUAUAAAUCUUUACCUCCGGACCAUUCCGGAACUCCUCGUGACGUCCGGGAUCUCAUCUGGGACUCCGAACAACAUUCGGUAACCACAUACAAGCUUCCUUUAUAACCCUAGCGUCAUCGAACCUUAAGUGUGUAGACCCUACGGGUUCGGGAGACAUGCAGACAUGACCGAGAUGUUCUCCGGUCAAUAACCAACAGCGGGAUCUGGAUACCCAUGUUGGCUCCCACAUGUUCCACGAUGAUCUCAUCGGAUGAACCACGAUGUCAAGGACUUAAUCAAUCCCGUAUUCAAUUCCCUUUGUCUAGCGGUAUUUUACUUGCCCGAGAUUCGAUCGUCGGUAUACCGAUACCUUGUUCAAUCUCGUUACCGGCAAGUCUCUUUACUCGUUCCGUAACACAUCAUCCCGUGAUCAACCCCUUGGUCACAUUGUGCACAUUAUGAUGAUGUCCUACCGAGUGGGCCCAGAGAUACCUCUCCGCUUACACGGAGUGACAAAUCCCAGUCUCGAUCUGCAUAAAACAAUAGAUACUUUCGGAGAUACCUGUAGUGCACCUUUAUAGUCACCCAGUUACGUUGUGACGUUUGAUACACCCAAAGCACUCCUACGGUAUCCAGGAGUUACACGCUCUCAUGGUCAAAGGAAGAGAUACUUGACAUUGGCAAAGCUCUAGCAAACGAACUACACGAUCUUUGUGCUAUGCUUAGGAUUGGGUCUUGUCCAUCACAUCAUUCUCCUAAUGAUGUGAUCCCGUUAUCAACGACAUCCAAUGUCCAUAGCCAGGAAACCAUGACUAUCUGUUGAUCACAACGAGCUAGUCAACUAGAGGCUCACUAGGGACAUAUUGUGGUCUAUGUAUUCACACGUGUAUUACGAUUUCCGGAUAAUACAAUUAUAGCAUGAAUAAAAUACAAUUAUCAUGAACAAGGAAAUAUAAUAAUAAUACUUUUAUUAUUGCCUCUAGGGCAUAUUUCCAACAGGUGACCACUUGCACUAGAGUCAAUAAUCUAGUUCACAUCACCAUGAGAUUAACACUGACAGAUCACAUCACCAUGUGACCAACAUCCAAAGAGUUUACUAGUGUCACUAAACUAGUUCACAUCAUCAUGUGAUCAAGACUCAAUGAGAUCUGGGGUUUGGUCAUGUUCUGCUUGUGAGAGAGGUUUUAGUCAACGGGUCUGAACCUUUCAGAUCCGUGUGUGCUUUACAAAUCUCUAUGUCAUCUCCUAGAUGUAGCUCCCACGUUCUAUUUGGAGCUAUUCCAAAUAACUGUUCUACUUGGAGCUAUUCUAAAUUGUUGCUCCAUUAUACGUAUCCGGUAUCUCUACUCAGAGCUAUCCGGAUAGGUGUUAAGCUUGCAUCAACGUAACCCUUUACGACGAACUCUUUUACCACCUCCAUAAUCGAGAAAAUUCCUUAGUCCACUAGUUACUAAGGAUAACUUUGACCGCUGUCCUAUGAUCCAUUCAUGGAUCACUCUUGUACCCCUUGACUGACUCAUGGCAAGGCACACUUCAGGUGCGGUACACAGCAUAGCAUACUGAAGAGCCUACGUCUCAAGCAUAGGGGACGACCUUCGUCCUUUCUCUCUUUUCUGCCGUGGUCAAGCUUUAAGUCUUAACUUCGUACCUUAAAACUCAGGCAAGAACUCCUUCUUUGACUGGUCCAUCUUGAACACCUUCAAGAUCAUGUCAAGGUAUGUGCUCAUUUGAAAGUAUUAUUAAGCAUUUUGAUCUAUCCUUAUAGAUCUCGAUGCUCAAUGUUCAAGUAGCUUAAUCCAGGUUUUCUAUUGAAAAACACCUUUCAAAUAACCCUAUAUGCUUUCUAGAAAAUCAUUUCUGAUCAUCAACAUGUCAACAACAUAUACUCAUCAGAAAUUCUAUAGUGCUCCCACUUACUUAUUUGGAAAUACAAGUUUCUCAUAAACUUUGUAUAGACCCAAAAUCUUUGAUCAUCUUAUCAAAGCGUACGUUCCAACUCCGAGAUGCUUACUCCAGUCCUUUAUAAGGAUCGCUGGAGCUAGCAUACCUUUUAGCAUCCUUAGGAUCGACAAAACCUUUCUGAUUGUAUCGCAUACAACCUUUCCUUACGACUGGUAAGGAAACUCGUUUUGACAUCCAUCUGCCGGAUUUCAUAAAUGCAGCUUGUGCUAACCUGAUUCCGACGGACUUUAAGCAUCGCUACGGAUGAGAAAAUCUCAUCGUAGUCAACUCCUUGAACUUGUGAAAAACUCUUCGCCACAAGUCGAGCUUCAUGGACGGUGACAUUACCGUCCACGUUCGUCUUCUUCUUAAAAAUCCAUUUAUCUCAAUGGCUUGCCGAUCAUCGGGCAAGUCCACCAAAGUCCAUGCUUUGUUCUGAUACAUGGAUCCUAUCUCGGAUUUCAUGGCUUCUAACCAUUUGUUGGAAUUUGGGCCCACCGUCGCUUCUCCAUAGCUCGUAGGUUCAUUGUUGUCUAGCAACAUGACCUUCAAGACAGGAUCAUCGUACCACUCUGAAGUAGUACGCAUCCUUGUCACCCUACGAGGUACGGUAGUGACUUGAUCCGAAGUUUCAUGAUCACUAUCAUAAGCUUCUACUUCAAUUGGUGUAGGUGCCAUAGGAACAACUUCCUAUGCCCUGCUACACACUAGUUGAAGUGACGGUUCAAUAACCUCAUCAAGUCUCCACCAUCCUCCCACUCAACUUUCCGAGACAAACUUUUCCUCGAGAAAGGACCUGAUUCAAGAAACAAUCCCUAUUGCUUUCGGAUUUGAAUUAGGAGGUAUACCCAACUAUUUUGGGUGUCCUAUGAAGAUGCAUUUUAUCCGCUUUGGGUUCGAGCUUAUCAACCUGAAACUUUUUCACAUAAGCGUCGCAGCCCCAAACUUUUAAGAAACGACAACUUAGGUUUCUCUAAACCAUAAUUCAAACGGUGUCGUCUCAACGGAAUUACGUGGUGCCCUAUUUAAAGUGAAUGUGGUUGUCUCUAAUGCUUAACCCAUGAACAAUAGUGGUAAUUCGAUAAGAGACAUCAUGGUACGCACCAUAUCCAAUAGGGUGCAACUAUGAUGUUCGGACACACCAUCACACUAUGGUGUUCCACGCGGUAUUAAUUGCGAAACAAUUUCCACAAUGUCUUAAUUGUGUGCCAAAACUCGUAACUCAGAUAUUCAUCUCUAUGAUCAUAUCAUAGACAUUUUAUCCUCUUGUCACAAUGAUCUUCUACUUCACUCUGAAAUUAUUUGAACCAUUCAAUAAUUCAGACUUGUGUUUCAUCAAGUGAAUAUUCUCAACAUCUACUCGAAUCAUCUGUGAAGUAAGAACAUAACGAUAUUCACUGCAUGCCUCAGCACUCAUUGGACUGCACACAUCAAAAUGUGUUACUUCCAAUAAGUUGCUAUCUUGUUACAUCUUACUGAAAACGAGGCUUUUCAGUCAUCUUGCCCAUGUGGUAUGAUUUGCAUAUCUCAAGUGAUUCAUAAUCAAGUGAGUCCAAACGAUCCAUCUGCAUGGAGUUUCUUCAUGCGUAUACACCAAUAGACAUGGUUCGCAUGUCUCAAACUUUUCUAAAACGAGUGAGUCCAAAGAUCCAUCAACAUGGAGCUUCUUCAUGCGUUUUAUACCAUUAUGACUUACAUGGCAGUGCCACAAGUAAGUGGUACUAUCAUUACUAUCUUAUAUCUUUUGGCAUGAAAAUGUGUAUCCCUACGAUCAAAAUUCAAUAAACCAUUCCUUUAGGUGCAAGAGCACUUAUUCAGGUUUAAUACUAAUCUUGAUGGUAGAGGGAGUGUGCGAUGUUAGAUCACAUCAAACUUGGAAACACUUCCAACACGUAUCGUCAGCUCACCUUUAGCUAGUCUCCGUUUAUUCCGUAGCUUUUAUUUCGAGUUACUAACACUUAGCAACCGAACCGGUAUCCAAUACCCUGGUGCUACUAGGAGUACUAGUAAAGUACACAUUAACAUAAUGUAUAUCCAAUAUACUUCUAUCGACCUUGCCAGCCUUCUCAUCUACCAAGUAUCUAGGGUAAUCCUGCUCCAGUGGUUGUUCCCUUUAUUACAGAAGCACUUAGUCUCGGGUUUGGGUUCAACCUCGGGUUUCUUCAUUGGUGCUGCAGCUGAUUUGCCGUUUCAUGAAGUAUCCCUUCUUUCCCUUGCCCUUCUUGAAACUAGUGGUUUCAUCAACUAUCAACAAUUGAUGCUCCUUCUUGAUUUCUACUUUUGCGAUGUCAAACAACACGAAUACCUCAAGGAUCAUCAUCUCUAUCCUUGAUAUGUUAUAGUUCAUCACGAAGCUCUAGCAGCUUGGUGGCAAUGACUUUGGGGAAACAUCACUAUCGCAUCUGGAAGAUCAACUCCCACUUGAUUCAAGUGAUUGUUGCACUCAGACAAUCUGAGCACAAGCUCAACGAUUGAGCUUUUCUCCCUUAGUUUGCAGGCCAAGAAAAUCGUCGGAGGUCUUAUACCUCUUGACAUGGGCACGAGCCUGAAAUCCCAAUUUCAGCCCUCAAAACAUCUCAUAUGUUUUGCGAUGUUUCAAAAACAUCUUUGGUGCCUCAAUUCUAAACCGUUUAACUGAACUAUCACGUAGUUAUCAAAACGUGUAUGUCCAAUGUUCGUAACAUCCACAAACGACGUUUGGGGUUCAGCACACUGAGCAGUGCAUUAAGGACAUAAGCUUUCUACUGUCCGCAUAAUUGCUACUAUCAACUUUCAACUAUAUUUUCUCUAGGAACAUAUCUAAAACAGUAGAAUUAAAGCGCGAGCUACGACAUAAUUUGCAAAAGGUCUUUUGACUAUGUUCAGGAUAAUUAAGUUCAUCUUAUGAACUCCCACUCAGAUAGACAUCCCUCUGGUCAUCUAAGUUAUUACAUGAUCCGAGUCAACUAGGCCGUGUCCGAUCAUCACGUGAGACGGACUAGUCAUCAUCGGUGAACAUCUUCAUGUUGAUCGUAUCUACUAUACGACUCAUGCUCGACCUUUCGGUCUCCGUGUUCCGAGGCCAUGUCUGCACAUGCUAGGCUCGUCAAGUUAACCCUAAGUGUUUUCGCUGUGUAAAACUGUCUUACACCCGUUGUAUGUGAACGUAAGAAUCCAUCACACCCGAUCAUCAUGUGGUGCUUAGAAGCGACGAACUGUAGCAACGGUGCACAGUUAGGGGAGAACACUUCUUGAAAUUGUUGUAAGGGAUCAUCUUAUUUACUACCGUCGUUCUAAGCAAACAAGAUGCAUAAACAUGAUAAACAUCACAUGCAAUCAAAUAGAGUAGUGACAUGAUAUGGCCAAUAUCAUAUAGCUCCUUUGAUCUUCAUCUUCGGGGCUCCAUGAUCAUCUUGUCACCGGCAUGACACCAUGAUCUCCAUCAUCAUGAUCUCCAUCAUCGUGUCUUCAUGAAGUUGUCACGCCAACGACUACUUCUACUUCUAUGACUAACGCGUUUAGCAAUAAAGUAAAGUAGUUUACAUGGCGUUCUUCAAUGACACGCAGGUCAUACAAAAAAAUAAAGACAACUCCUAUGGCUCCUGCCGGUUGUCAUACUCAUCGACAUGCAAGUCGUGAAUCCUAUUACAAGAACAUGAUCAAUCUCAUACAUCACAUAUAUCAUUCAUCACAUCCUUUUGGCCAUAUCACAUCACAUAGCAUACCCUGCAAAAACAAGUUAGACGUCCUCUAAUUGUUGUUGCAUGUUUUACGUGGCUGCUAUGGGUUUCUAGCAAGAACAUUUCUUACCUACGCAAGACCACAACGUGAUAUGCCAAUUGCUAUUUACCCUUCAUAAGGACCCUUUUCAUCGAAUCCGUUCCGACUAAAGUGGGAGAGACUGGCACCCGCUAGCCACCUUAUGCACCAAGUGCAUGUCAAUCGGUGGAACCUGUCUCACGUAAGAGUACGUGUAAGGUCGGUCCGGGCCGCUUCAUCCCACAAUACCGUCGAAACAAGAUUGGACUAGUAACGGUAAGCAUAUUGAACAACAUCAACGCCCACAAUUACUUUGUGUUCUACUCGUGCAAAGAAUCUACGCAAUAGACCUAGCUCUGAUACCACUAUUGGGUAACGUAGCAGAAAUUCAAAAUUUUCCUACGCGUCACCAAGAUCUAUCUAUGGAGAAACCAGCUACGAGUAGAAGGAGAGUGCAUCUACAUACCCUUGUAGAUCGCUAAGCGGAAGUGUUCAAGUGAACGAGGUUGAUGGAGUCGUACUCGUCGUGAUUCAAAUCACCGAUGAUCAAGUGCCGAACGGACGGCACCUCCGCGUUCAACACACAUACAGCCCGGUGACGUCUCCCACGCCUUGAUCCAGCAAGGAGAGAGGGAGAGGUUGAGGAAGACUCCAUCCAACAGCAGCAUAAUGGCGUGGUGGUGAUGGAGGAGCGUGGCAAUCCAGCAGGGCUUCGCCAAGCACCAUGGGAGAGGAGGAGGAGGAGGAGAGGCAGGGCUGCACCAACGAGAGAUCAAAUCGCGUGUUAUGGGCAGCCCUAUGCCUCACUAUUUAUAGGGGGAGAGGGGGCUGCGCCCCCUUCUAGGGUUUCCCACCCCCAAGGGGUGCGGCCAGCCCUAGAUGGCAAAGGGGGCGGCGGCCAGGAGGGGGAGAGAGGGGAGGCGCCCACUAGGUGGGCCUUAAGGCCCAUCUGGACUAGGGUUUGCCCCCUCCCACUCUCCCUUGCGCCUUGGCCCCUUGUAGGGGGCGCACCAGCCCACCUAGGGGCUGGUCCCCUCCCACACAUGGCCCACGCAGCCUUCUGGGGCAGCUGGCCCCACUUGGUGGACCCCCGGGACCCUCCCGGUGGUCCCGGUACAAUACCGAUAUCGCCCGAAACUUUUCCGGUGACCAAAACAGGACUUCCCAUAUAUAAAUCUUUACCUCCGGACCAUUCCGGAACUCCUCGUGACGUCCGAGAUCUCAUCCGGGACUCCGAACAACAUUCGGUAACCACAUACAAGCUUCCUUUAUAACCCUAGCGUCAUCGAACCUUAAGUGUGUAGACCCUACGGGUUCGGGAGACAUGCAGACAUGACCGAGACGUUCUCCGGUCAAUAACCAACAGCGGGAUCUGGAUACCCAUGUUGGCUCCCACAUGUUCCACGAUGAUCUCAUCGGAUGAACCACGAUGUCAAGGACUUAAUCAAUCCCGUAUUCAAUUCCCUUUGUCUAGCGGUAUUUUACUUGCCCGAGAUUCGAUCGUCGGUAUACCGAUACCUUGUUCAAUCUCGUUACCGGCAAGUCUCUUUACUCGUUCCGUAACACAUCAUCCCGUGAUCAACCCCUUGGUCACAUUGUGCACAUUAUGAUGAUGUCCUACCGAGUGGGCCCAGAGAUACCUCUCCGCUUACACGGAGUGACAAAUCCCAGUCUCGAUCCGCAUAAAACAAUAGAUACUUUCGGAGAUACCUGUAGUGCACCUUUAUAGUCACCCAGUUACGUUGUGACGUUCGAUACACCCAAAGCACUCCUACGGUAUCCAGGAGUUACACGCUCUCAUGGUCAAAGGAAGAGAUACUUGACAUUGGCAAAGCUCUAGCAAACGAACUACACGAUCUUUGUGCUAUGCUUAGGAUUGGGUCUUGUCCAUCACAUCAUUCUCCUAAUGAUGUGAUCCCGUUAUCAACGACAUCCAAUGUCCAUAGCCAGGAAACCAUGACUAUCUGUUGAUCACAACGAGCUAGUCAACUAGAGGCUCACUAGGGACAUAUUGUGGUCUAUGUAUUCACACGUGUAUUACGAUUUCCGGAUAAUACAGUUAUAGCAUGAAUAAAAGACAAUUAUCAUGAACAAGGAAAUAUAAUAAUAAUACUUUUAUUAUUGCCUCUAGGGCAUAUUUCCAACAGGUGAAAACUAUUCCUGAAGUAUUUUCAAUGCUGAAGUCAGCAGAGGUAGAAAUCAAAAAGGAACAUCAAGUGUUGAUGGUCAAUAAAACCACCAAGUUCAAGAAAGGCAAGGGUAAGAAGAACUUCAAGAAGGACGGCAAGGAUGUUGUCGCGCCCGGUAAGCCGGUUGCCGGGAAGAAGUCAAAGAAUGGACCCAAGCCUGAAACUGAGUGCUUUUAUUGCAAAGGGAAGGGUCACUGGAAGCGAAACUGCCCCAAAUACUUAGCGGACAAGAAGGCCAGCAACACUAAAGGUAUAUGUGAUAUACAUGUAAUUGAUGUGUACCUUACGAGUGCUCGUAGUAGCUCCUGGGUAUUUGAUACCGGUGCCGUUGCUCAUAUUGUAACUCAAAGCAGGAGCUGCAGAAUAAGCGGAGACUGGCGAAGGACGAGGUGACGAUGUGCGUCGGGAAUGGUUCCAAGGUCGAUGUGAUCGCCGUCGGCACGCUACCUCUACAUUUACCUACAGGAUUAGUUUUAAACCUUAAUAAUUGUUAUUUAGUGCCAAGUUUGAGCAUGAACAUUGUAUCUGGAUCUCAUUUAAUACGAGAUGGCUACUCAUUUAAAUCCGAGAAUAAUGGUUGUUCUAUUUAUACGAGAGAGAUGUAUUAUGGUCAUGCCCCGAUGGUCAAUGGUUUAUUAUUGAAUCUUGGACGUAAUAUUACACAUAUUCAUAGUGUGAAUACCAAAAGAUGUAAAGUUGAUAACGAUAGUCCCACAUACUUGUGGCACUGCCGCCUUGGUCACAUUGGUGGCAAGCGCAUGAAGAAGCUCCAUGCUGAUGGACUUUUAGAGUCUCUCGAUUAUGAAUCAUUUGACACAUGUGAACCAUAACUCAUGGGCUAAAUGACCAAGACUCCGUUCUCCGAAACAAUGGAGCGAGCAACCAACUUAUUGGAAAUCAUACAUACCGAUGUGUGCGGUCCAAUGAGCGUUGAGGCUCGCGGAGGAUAUCGCUAUGUUCUCACUCUCACUGAUGACUUGAGUAGAUAUGGGUAUGUCUACUUGAUGAAACACAAGUCUGAGACCUUUGAAAAGUUCAAGGAAUUUCAGAAUGAGGUAGAGAAUCAACGUGACCGAAAGAUAAAGUUCUUACGAUCAGAUCGUGGAGGAGAAUAUUUAAGUCGUGAAUUUGGUACGCACUUAAGGAAAUGUGGAAUCGUUUCACAACUCACGCCGCCUGGAACACCUCAGCGUAACGGUGUGUCCGAACGUCGUAAUCGCACUCUAUUGGAUAUGGUGCGAUCUAUGAUGUCUCUUACCGAUUUACCGCUAUCAUUUUGGGGAUACGCUCUAGAGACAACUACAUUCACUUUAAAUAGGACUCCGUCUAAAUCCGUUGAGAUGACACCGUAUGAAUUAUGGUUUGGGAAGAAACCUAAGUUGUCGUUUCUAAAAGUUUGGGGAUGCGAUGCUUAUGUCAAGAAACUUCAACCUGAAAAGCUCGAACCCAAGUCGGAAAAAUGCGUCUUCAUAGGAUACCCUAAGGAAACCACUGGGUAUACCUUCUACUUAAGAUCCGAGGGCAAGAUCUUUGUUGCCAAGAACGGAUCCUUUCUAGAAAAAGAAUUUCUCUCGAAAGGAGUAAGUGGGAGGAAAGUAGAACUCGAUGAAGUACUACCUCUUGAACCGGAAAGUAGUGCAGCUCAGGAAAAUGUUCCUGUGGUGCCUACACCGACUGGAGAGGAAAUUAAUGAUGAUGAUCAAGGUACUUCAGAUCAAGUUGCUACAGAACUUCGUAGGUCCACAAGGACACGUUCCACACCAGAGUGGCAUGGCAACCCUGUCCUGGAAAUCAUGUUGUUAGACAACGGUGAACCUUCGAACUAUGAAGAAGCGAUGGCGGGCCCAGAUUCCAACAAAUGGCUUGAAGCCAUGCAAUCCGAGAUAGGAUCCAUGUAUGAAAACAAAGUAUGGACUUUGACAGACUUGCCUGAUGAUCGGCGAGCGAUAGAAAACAAAUGGAUCUUUAAGAAGAAGACGGACGCGGAUGGUAAUGUUACCAUCUAUAAAGCUCGACUUGUCGCUAAGGGUUAUCGACAAGUUCAAGGGGUUGACUACGAUGAGACAUUCUCUCCCGUAGCGUAGCUAAAGUCCGUCCGAAUCAUGUUAGCAAUUGCCGCAUACUAUGAUUAUGAGAUAUGGUAGAUGGACGUCAAAACCACAUUCCUUAAUGGACAUCUUAAGGAAGAACUGUAUAUGAUGCAGCCGGAAGGUUUUGUCGAUCCUAAGAAUGCUAACAAGGUGUGAAAGCUCCAACGAUCCAUUUAUGGGCUGGUGCAAGCAUCUCGGAGUUGGAACAUUCACUUUGAUGAGAUGAUCAAAGCGUUUGGGUUUAUGCUGACUUAUGGAGAAGCCUGCGUUUACAAGAAAGUGAGUGGGAGCUCUGUAGCAUUUCUCAUAUUAUAUGUAGAUAACAUACUUUUGAUGGGAAAUGAUAUAGAACUAUUGGACAGCAUUAAGGCCUACUUGAAUAAGUGUUUUUCAAUGAAGGACCUUGGAGAAGUUGCUUAUAUAUUAGGCAUGAAGAUCUAUAGGGAUAGAUCGAGACGCCUCAUAGGUCUUUCACAAAGCACAUACCUUGAUAAGAUAUUGAAGAAGUUCAAUAUGGAUCAGUCCAAGAAAGGGUUCUUGCCUAUAUUGCAAGGUGUGAGAUUGAGCUCGGCUCAAUGCCCGACCAUGGCAGAAGAUAAAGAAGAGAUGAGUGUCAUCCCCUAUGCCUCAGCCAUAAGAUCUAUUAUGUAUGCCAUGUUGUGUACCAGACCUAAUGUAAACCUUGCCGUAAGUUUUGUAGGAAGGUACCAAAGUAAUCCCGGCAAGGAACACUGGACAGCGGUCAAGAAUAUCCUGAAGUACCUGAAAAGGACAAAGGACAUGUUUCUCAUUUAUGGAGGUGACGAAGAGCCCGUCGUAAAGGGUUACGUCGAUGCUAGCUUCGGCACAGAUCUGGAUGACUCUAAGUCACAAACCGGAUACAUGUAUAUGUUGAAUCGUGGAGCAGUAAGUUGGUGCAGUUGCAAGCAGAGCGUCGUGGCGGGAUCUACAUGUGAAGCGGAGUACAUGGCAGCCUCGGAGGCAGCGCAUGAAGCAAUAUGGAUGAAGGAGUUCAUCACCGACCUAGGAGUCAUACCCAAUGCGUCGGGGCCGAUCACUCUCUUCUGUGACAAUACUGGAGCUAUUGCCCUUGCCAAGGAGCCCAGGUUUCACAAGAAGACCAGGCACAUCAAGCGUUGUUUUAACUCCAUCCGUGAAAAUGUUCAAGAUGGAGACAUAGAUAUUUGCAAAGUACAUACGGAUCUGAAUGUCACAGAUCCAUUGACUAAGCCUCUUCCUCGAGCAAAACAUGAUCAACACCAGAACUCUAUGGGUGUUUGAUUCAUCACAAUGUAACUAGAUUAUUGACUCUAGUGCAAGUGGGAGACUAUUGGAAAUAUGCCCUAGAGGCAAUAAUAAAAGGAUUAUUAUUAUAUUUCCUUGUUCAUGAUAAUUGUCUUUUAUUCAUGUUAUAAUUGUAUUAUCCGGAAAUCGUAAUACACGUGUGAAUACAUAGACCACAACAUGUCCCUAGUGAGCCUCUAGUUGACUAGCUCGUUAAUCAACAGAUAGUCAUGGUUUCCUGACUAUGGACAUUGGAUGUCAUUGAUAACGAGAUCACAUCAUUAGGAGAAUGAUGUGAUGGACAAGACCCAAUCCUAAGCAUAGCACAAGAUCGUGUAGUUCAUUUGCUAGAGCUAUUCCAAUGUCAAGUAUCUUUUCCUUAGACCAUGAGAUCGUGUAACUCCCGGAUACCGUAGGAGUGCUUUGGGUGUACCAAACGUCACAACAUAACUGGGUGACUAUAAAGGUAUACUACGGGUAUCUCCGAAAGUGUCUGUUGGGUUGACACGGAUCGAGAUUGGGAUUUGUCACUCCGUAGGACGGAGAGGUAUCUCUGGGCUCACUCGGUAAUGCAUCAUCAUAACGAGCUCAAAGUGACCAAGUGUCUGGUCACGGGAUCAUGCAUUGCGGUACGAGUAAAGUGACUUGCCGGUAACGAGAUUGAACGAGGUAUUGGGAUACCGACGAUCGAAUCUCGGGCAAGUAACAUACCGAUUGACAAAGGGAAUUGUAUACGGGGUUGCUUGAAUCCUUGACAUCGUGGUUCAUCCGAUGAGAUCAUCGAGGAGCAUGUGGGAGCCAACAUGGGUAUCCAGAUCCCGCUGUUGGUUAUUGACCGGAGAGCCGUCUCGGUCAUGUCUACGUGUCUCCCGAACCCGUAGGGUCUACACACUUAAGGUUCGGUGACGCUAGGGUUGUAGAGAUAUAAGUAUGCAGCAAACCGAAAGUUGUUCGGAGUCCCGGAUGAGAUCCUGGACGUCAUGAGGAGUUCUGGAAUGGUCCGGAGGUAAAGAAUUAUAUAUGGGAAGUCGAGUUUCGGCCAUCGGGAAAGUUUCGGGGGUCACCGGUAUUGUACCGGGACCAUCAGAAGGGUCCCGGGGGUCCACCGGGUGGGGCCACCUAUCCCGGAGGGCCCCAUGGGCUGAAGUGGGAGGGGAACCAGCCCCUAGUGAGCUGGUGCGCCCCCCCCCCCCUUGGGCCCCCCUGCGCCUAGGGUUGGGAACCCUAGGGGAGGGGGCGCCUCCACUUGCCUUGGGGGCAAGGCACCCCCCUUGGCCGCCGCCCCCCCUAAGAGAUCCCAUCUCCUAGGGCCGGCGCCCCCCUGGGGACCCUAUAUAUAGAGAGGGGGAGGGAGGUCAGCGUCACCCUUGCACUUGGCGCCUCCCUUCCCCCUUGCUACACCUCUCCCUCCCGCAGAUGCUUGGCGAAGCCCUGCCGGGAUCCCUGCUGCAUCCACCACCACGUCGUCGUGCUAUUGGAUCUUCAUCAACCUCUCCUUCCCCCUUGCUGGAUCAAGAAGGAGGAGAUGUCACCCUGACCGUACGUGUGUUGAACGCGGAGGUGCCAUCCGUUCGGCGCUAGGAUCUCCGGUGAUUUGGAUCACGACGAGUACGACUCCCUCAACCCUGUUCUCUUGAACGCUUCCGCUCGCGAUCUACAAGGGUAUGUAGAUGCACUCCCCUCUCUCGUUGCUAGAUGAAAUCAUAGAUUGAUCUUGGUGAAUGUAGGAAUUUUUUUAUUUUAUGCAACGUUCCCCAACAGUUAGGUGGCACCGGGUUAUGCUGAGACCCCAACCGUCUGAAAGCAUCAGCCGCCUCAUUCUUCCUGUGAUCGAUGUGUUCCAGUUGAUAACCCUUAAAAUGACCAGCAAUAGCAUCCACCUCACGGCGGUAAGCCGCCAUAAGUGGGUCUUUGGAAUCCCAUUUGCCGGAGACUUGUUGAGCCACCAAGUCUGAGUCGCCGAAACAUCUCACCCGGCUUAAGUUCAUCUCCUUAGCCAUCCAAAGACCAUGGAACAAGGCUUCAUACUCAACUGCAUUGUUAGUACAGGGAAACAUCAACCUUAGAACAUAACAAAAUUUGUCACCCCGAGGGGAAGCUAAGACAACUCCAGCCCCCGAGCCUUCCAAUUAACUGGACCCAUCAAAGUGAAUAGUCCAAUAUGUGUUAUCCGGCUUCUCUUCAGGCAUCUGCAGCUCUGUCCAAUCGUUGAUGAAAUCCACCAGUGCUUGAGACUUGAUAGCGGUGCGAGGCACAUACUUCAAACCAUGAGCCCAAGUUCAAUGGCCCAUUUGGCGACUCGUCCUGUGGCUUCUCUGUUUUGAAUAAUAUCCCCUAAAGGAGCAAAACUGACCACAGUGAUGGGAUGACCUAGGAAAUAUUGCUUAACCUUCCGGCUGGCCAUGAACACCCCAUAAACAAGUUUCUGUCAAUGAAAAUAUCUCUGCUUGGACUCAAUAAGCACCUCACUGAUAUAAUAAACCGGCCGCUGAACCGAAUACUCCUUGCCAGCCUCCUUUCGUUCCACCACAAUGGCUACACUGGCCGCAUGGGUGUUAGCAGCCACAUAUAACAAUAAUGGCUCCUUAUCAAUGGGAGCAGCAAGGACUGGCGGCUCAGCUAGCUGCCUCUUCAAGUCUUCAAACACGUCGUUUGCAGCAUCACUCCAGACGAAGUUAUCUAUUUUCUUCAUCAUCUGAUACAACGGUAUGGCCUUCUCACCCAACCGGCUUAUGAACCGGCUUAAGGCAGCAAUAUGACCCGCCAGACGCUGAACAUCAUUGAUACACGCCGGCUUAGCCAGGGAGGUGAUGGCUUUGAUCUUCUUCGAGUUAGCCUCAAUGCCUCUGUUAGAAACCAGAAAACCCAAAAGCAUGACAAGUAGACCGUAAUCCAGCUGCAUGUACUACUAUUACUCCACCCAGAAACCGAUAUCCAAAAUGCAUCUCAAGGAAUUAAGUUUAAUGAAAAACAUAAUUACACAAUAAGAAAGAUGACAUGAUGUAGAUAGAAAGAAACUUAGCAAUAAGAUCAAUCCCCAUUGUUUUAUCCUUAGUAUCAACAAUACAUCACGUGCCUUCUCCCCAUUCUGUCACUCGGAUAUAGAUCAUCAUGAGGUUGAGCCCACCACUAUUCACCACUUCCUGUGAAGAAUUACCCAUCCAUCUUGGCCAGAGAAGACAAAUAACUCAGAAAGCAUACAUAUCUACUCAAUCAUACAUCAAAGAAACUUCAAAAGAUUCAAUUAUAUUCAAUGAACAAUCUGAUCACAAAUCCACAAAUCACCGGUUCCCAACAAACACACCACAAGAAUUACAUUGGAUUGGUCCUAGAGGAGAUUAUUGUAUUAAAGAUCCAAAAGUGAAAGAUGAUAAGUCAUCUAGCUACUACUAUGGACUCAUAGGUCCUAAAAGAACUACUCACGCAUCAUCAUGGAGGCAGCAAGGUUGAUGAAGAGGCCUCCCAUGGUGGCUUCCCCUCUCGCAGAGCACCGAAAUAGGGCUCCAUAUGGGAUCACUUUGGAACAGAGGCUUGCGGCGGCAUUAAAAUUCUCUCAUCUGUCUCUCUGAAGGUUCCGGGAAUUAUGGGAUUUAUAGGCGGAGGAAUUAGGUCAAAUGGAGCAACAAGGGCCCCCACAAGCCUAGAUGGCGCAACUAGGGGCUAGGUUACGCCCCUGGGCUUGUGGGCCCCUCGUCCAUCUUCUGGCCUUCUCCCGGAACUUUUAGGAUCUCUUAUUUUCCAUAAACAAUCGUCAUAAAUUUUCAUCGUGUUUGGACCUUUCUAGAUAUGGAUUUUCUAUGAAACCAAAAACAUGCAAAAAAACAGAAACUUGGACUGGGCACUACACUAAUAAGUUAGUCCAAAAAAAUAAUAUAAAAUGAUAUAAAAAGCAUACAAAAGUGAUAAUAUAAUAGCAUUUAACGAUCAAAAAUUAUAGAUACGUUUGAGGUCACAAUGCAACUAGGUCGCUCGCGCCCGUGGUCGCCCAAUGCCUAGCUUGGCUUUCGUCCUAACCAUGUCAAGAGGCUAGAUAGGUUGAGUUGUACGCCGCCGGUUGUCCGAUCGAUUGGUCAGGGAAGGAAUUCACGUGCACCGCUAGGUUGGGAUACCUCUGGUGAUCUAUCAACUCAAGGCCUGGUGCAAUACGUUUAUCUCCGGGAUGUUGUGCAGUCAAUGCAUCUCAAUCCAUAUUCUCAUGACCUAGACGAUCUAGUAGUUACGGCCAGAGGUUUACGCACCCGCGUUAGCCUACCGCCUGUUGUUCGGUGGCUAGGGUAGUAACCCUUGUGCCAAUGCCAUUUGGAAGAGUUGGGCCCCUCUUAAUUGCAAAAUUUUCAUCUGGUUGUCGAUUCAGUAUGGUGUGUCGACAUCGGUACAAGGAGGGGCCUGCAAGAUCAGUCAUCUACUUGCUACUUGUGUGAUCAGGGCGAAGAUACAAUGGACGGGACCUCCUAUUUGGCGUAAUGCACGCCGCAAACAAGCAGAACGCACCCGGCCUCCACCGGCGUCCCUUUUGGGCCAGGCCAUGCGGGCGGGACGCGCCCUGCUUUUUUUCUUUUGAUUUUUUUUCGUUUUUCAUUUUUUCUUUGUAAAAUAAUUCGGGAUUUCAACAUAGUUCCAAAUUUCUAAAAAUGCAAAAAAAAAUAUUGAAAAACAUAAAAUUUUCAUGAAUUCAAAAAAAAAUGCUCAUGACUUUGAAAAAAAUCAUGAGUUUGAAGGAAAUGUUCACAUAUUCCAGUAAAGUUCGAUAAUAAAAAAUCAUGAUUUUGAAAAAAAAUACGUGUAUUCAAAAAAUGUUCGUGAAUUUAAACUAAAUGUUCGUUAAUUCAAUAAUUGUUCUUGAUUUUUUUGAGUGUUCCUGAAUUUCAAAAUAUGUUACCAAAUUUAGUUCAUCUCUUCAAAACAUGUUUGCUGAUUCAAAAAAAUUCAUCAAUUGAAAAAAAUUAUGCAUUUCAAAAAAUGUCUGUCAAAACAUAUAAAUGUUCGUGAAUUUUAAAAAAAUGAUCGCCAAUUUAGAAAACUCUUCACAAUUUGAAAAAAAAAGUUUGCGAAGUUGUAAAAAAUGUUUGUGAAUUUAAAAAAUUAUUCGCCGAUACAAAAAAUAUUCACGAAUUUGUAAAAUAAUAUUUGCAAAUCCGGAAAUUGUUCCCAUGAAUUUGUAAAAAAUGUUCACGAAUUUGCAUAGUAUUUAUGAUUUCAAAAAAUGUUCACUAAUUUAUAACAAAAUGUUCAUGAAUUUUUAAAAAUGUUCAGGAUUUUAAAAAAUAUUCGCAAAUUUACAAAUUGUUCAUGAUUUUAAAAAAUGUUCUCAAAUUUGAAAGAUGUUCACAAAAUGAAAUGAAAAAGAAAGAAAGAAAGAAAAUAAAUAAAUAAGAAGAAGAAGAAGAAGAAGAAGAAGAAGAAAAGUAAAAUAAAAAACAUGGAAAAGAAGGAAAACAGAAAUGAAAAAAGAAAAUAAAAAUAGAAAAGACAAAGGAAAACUGAAAAACAAAACAAAUAAAUAAAUAACCAGGCCAAAAUGGAGAUGAAAAAGAAAAAACCAGCUCAAGGAAGGUUUUAAAACCUUCGCAAAACCGGUGGAAAAAAUCAAAAUGGGCUAGCCAUACCCUGGACAGACGGGUGGGUGGGGUGUGCGCUAGGUCGCUACACAGCGACCGACCCGGCAAAUAGGAGGCAUAUUCUCAUGGGGUGCAGCUUCUCUAGAAAGUUGUGAGGACAUGCAAUUUCUGAACAAGUUCAGUAACACAACAAACCCAAUAGCAGCUGUGUAUGAGGCAGUCCAAUCAAGAUAAUUGCAAUUCCAUGCUUGUAACAGGCUACGGACAUACCGGUUUGCAUGGUAAUAAAUCUUUUGUUUGUCACAUUACAACAGUACAGGUUCCUUUACGACAAUAAUAUAUGUGUCUUUGUCCAAAUAACUUCUGAAGAAACUAAUCAACCAUGUGAUGUGAACCUAGUGCCACUAUGCUCUCAUUUAUGCGGCAGCCAGUUUCUUGUUUGUAGAUCUCAAACUACUUCUCAACUGUAUCCUGAUUUAU
rnacentral:lncRNA from 1 species